rnacentral:lncRNA from 1 species
GAUCCAGCUCUUCUCUCCACGGUGUGGUAGCCCAUCAGAUCUCCAGCUCUUCUCUCCACGGCGCGGCAGCUCAUCGGAUCUCUGAUCGAGCUAAUUUCUGGUUGGUGUGUGCCUUUCUUCUCUGACGCGGAGUGCGCGGCCCAUUUCGCCACCGGAGAACGCGCAAGCAGAAGCAGACUUAUCGCGUCGUGCUCGCCCGAGGCGGACCGCCGUGGUCGCCCGAGGUGGAACGAGAAAGCAAGAGCAGCCUCGGAACGUCGUGCUCGGCGUGGGACUCCUCCUCCGACGACGCACGGCCUCUUGUCCGCGCCCUUCUCUGUGUUGCCUACGUCGUGGGGGCGUGCUCCUCCUCUCCUCGUGCCACACUCUCCUGCUCUAUCGUAGCAUUGUUGUCCAUGCCACGUCCGUUUCCGUCGAGCACGGAGAUCAACAACUUCUACUGCCUCCUCCCCCGCCGUGAACUCCACUAUCCAUCAAGGCCGACCAUUGCGCCCCUCACUACGUGGAUUCAUUGAACGGCAGCAAGGCCAACGCACCUAGCAGCUCAACCGCUAGCUGCAGUGAGACACCAUUGGAUGGAUGCAUGUAUCUCUGAUGACAAUGAGACACCAAUGGAAGUUGUUGCACCUGAUGAUGAUGAGAGGCUUUAUCCUGAUUUAUUAGUUGACUGGUGGGAUCAAUUGGAGUUUGAAGGGUAUGAUCCUUUGCCUACACAAUUUGAGUAGACUGAUGAAGAAGAGAAUAAGGAGAAUAUUGAAAAUGGUGUGGUGGAUCUAGACCAAGAAGAGGAUGAGGAUAGAUCUCGAAUUGAGUACGACAGAGACAAUCCCUCGCUAAAAGAAGGUAGCACAUUUCCAUCAAUGACUGAUUGUUGCAAUGUACUUACUACUUGCUGCAUCAAGGGUGAGUAUGAUUUUGUGAUGGAUAAGAGUGAGCAAGAAAGAUUGACUGUGCACUGUUCUUUCUCGAGGUGUAAAGGGAGGAUGCAUGCUUCCACUAUGCAGAAUAGCACAAUUAUUCAGGUGAAAGUGAAUCCAUUUCCACACACUUGUCCAAGUACCGAAAGAAAAAAAGACUCAAAAGUGUAACACCCUAAAUUUAGCGGUAUAAAUUUAUUUUCUAUAAUCCACCGAAUUCAAGUGUUUCCCUCUUCUUUCUUUGCCUUUCUUUCUCUGUUCAAAAUAGUGAAGGAAUAUUUUGCUUUUAUGUAAGUAUUAGAUGUAUUAAUGAAACUCAAAAGGGAUUUUUGAUUGUUGCAUCACAUGCUGGAGCAUUAAUUUUUUUUGUUGUUGAUUGAGUUGAAGGAGUUUUACUAUUUAAUUUAUUCUCCUUUUGCGAAGCCCAAUUUAAUUAAUAAUAGAAAUUUACCAAAAAAUAUUUAUUGAAUAUUUUAUUUGGAAUUAUUAUUAUUAUUAUUUUUAAAUUUUUAUGAUUUUUUAAUAUUUAGAAAAAACAUAUAUUUCGAAUAACUUAUGUGAAGAAAAAAAGGAAAAAGAAUUUUGAAAUAAAAAAGAAAAAGAAAUCCCCAAAAAAUCAAUCGUCCGCCAAUCCAGCCCACAAUCCCCCUCCCCACAUGCACCAACUCCCUCCUCAUCCUUUUCUUUUCUUCAUUCCUAUGACGAUGGGCCCCACUAGCUCAUUUCCUCUCCCCCACGUAUUCUUCUCCCUGCUUCGAUUCAAAAAACCGGUCAACCGGUCGUCUCUCUACUCGUUCGCGGCCAGCCAGUGCGGCCAGCCAGGGCGGCGAUCCCACGACCAACGUGGCGACCCAGCAUGGCUCGGCUGUGUAGCCCCGACACGGCCCGCGCGGCCUACGCAAUCUGACUUGGCCCUUGCACAACCCCAUCGUAACAGUCUCGCUGUCGUCGUGCAUUGCCGCGAGCUCGUCUCAUCGUCCACCGCAUUGGCGAGGUGAGCUUUGUCUACCCUCGGUCUAUCCUUCGUCUACCUCUUGCGCACAGCACCGUCGACCCUCAUUGACGUGCAAUUCACGCUGCGCGCAGCACGUCUGACUUGCGCGCAAGUCACGUGUUGUUGCAUGUGUCAUCACGCGUCGUUCGCGCGCCAUUCCACGCCUGUCAUGCACGUACUCGUCGUCAAUUUUCAUGUUCGUGCACGCGCGCCGCGCGUCCGGUAUGCACAUUAUUUGUGCGAUUUCGUGCGUGCGGUUUCGCGCGUGCUAAUUCAUAUGUUGAUCAUGCGCAUCGUCGUUCGCGUAAAUCGCUAUUUGCGCGCUUUAAUAAAAUCACUUCGCCAUAUCGUUCAUGUUAAAUACUUGGUUAAUUGUUUAGUUUUCAAUUAUUAAAAUAAUAAUUCAAUUGAAUCUAAUUUAUAACUUUAACUAUGAGUUUGUAGAUAUUUGUUAACGUGUUUAUGCCGACUUAAAUGUUAUAUUUAACAUUUGUUUAAUAUAAGAAAACGACACAAUUUAGUAGUAUUUGUAUGUCACGUCGUUUAUUAACCGAGAAUUGUUAGUCAUUCAAUGUAUAAUGUGUCAUAAAUCUUUCGACUUGUUUCAGUUGUGUCAACUUCGUAACAACGUUGAUUUCGUAUUAGUAAUGUUAUUUUAUCACGUCACAAGUUUAAUUAUUUAAUUAGUUGUUCAUUCGAUACUUAUUAAAAAUAACCUUAUAAUUAAAACUAGUUUAUAGUUUUUAACUCAUGCUUUUAUAAAUAAAUGUUAACUUGAUUAAUAUCAACUUAAAUGUUUUUAUUUAAUACUUGUUUAGUAUAAUCGCGUUAUCUGUUUGCGAUUAUCACGUGUCGUCGCACUGUCUGCGCGCUGUUCGUGCGUGAUGUGCUCGUGGUUGUGUGCUUAUUCGUGUGUCGUUCGCGCUGGUCGCACGCACUGUUUCCUGCGUCGUUCGCGCGCUAUGUCCUGCGUGUCCGCGCGUUGUUCGCACGCUGUUGUGUUGUUUCUUGCAUCGUGAAUUCGCCUUGCUUAGGAUCACUAAUAUUAAUUAAUUUACUUAUUUGACCGACAAUUGUUAGUGUAGCAGGUUAAUCAAAACUAAAUAGUAGUUAUAUUUUAUAUUUGAUAAAUGACAAAUUAAAUGUUUUAACUAAUAUUUGUUUAGUGUAAACGCGAUAACUUCUUCACCUUUGCUCUGACUGUUGUGUUUUUUCCUCUUGUGACCGUAGAAGCGAUCUCUAUUUUAUAGUACACAUUUUUAUAAUGGUUUCCUUUGUAUGGUGUAAUGUUCUUAUGCAUGUAUAUGUUUGUUAUUUGUGCCUGUUUGUAUGCGCUGCGUGUCGAGAGAAUGUGAUCCGUUUCCGAGCUUCGAGGAAUUGACGAUCAAGCUACAACGACCAAGUGAACAAGUUCUUCGAGUUCUACAAGGUUGAAGACCCUAAGCGUCUGUCUGUUGAAGUCAAGUCUCAUCUGACCCAUUAUGUUCUACUCACUUUAUAAUUCACUGUCCCACAUACUAUGAUCAACCUAAGGAUUGACUAGUGUUCUGUUUUUUCUAUCCUUGGUUAUCCUUUGGGAAUUGGUUACUAUGAUUAGUAUCAUGCUAUUGCUUUACUUUAAUCAAUGAACAUGAUGAGAAUAUUUAUGAUACGUUGAUGAUAUCAUGAUUACGAUGAUGAGCUUGUGUUAUUUUAGGGGGCUCAUGUUGUUUCCUGAGUACCUCUCCGUAAGGACCUAUUCGUUGGAUGACCACCCGGGAAAACAGUGCAACCAUGAGGGUGGUAUGGGACGCCCUUAGCUGAUUAAUUGGAGGAACUUGGGGGUGUAGUUGGCUUCGCCGUAGGGCCGUCAAUGGGGGUCGGGGCAUAGUGCUUGCUCUGCUAAGGGUGGGUGCCGAGGUUCCUUUGAUUUGGUUUUGUUAGACACCCACCUUAGGGAGGAGUAUAGUGUUUAUACGACUAGCGAAAUCUAAUGGGCGACUACACACCAGGGGAAUCUUUGUGAAGGCUACAUAAUGUAUCCCUUGCCAUUCACCUCGGUAGUGAAGAUCGGGUCUUGCAAACCCAGGCUGGAAAGGGAUCGCGGCUCAUGGGUAAAGUGUGCGACCUCUAUAGAGGAAUGAAACUGAUAUAUCAGCCAUGCUCACAGUUAUGAGCAACCUUGGGAGCUCCUUUGAUUAGAGAUACAAAUGAUCGAGAUGUUAUGGUUCCAUUUAUGGAUUUGGUUCGAUGAUGAUAAUGAUGUUCCUCAAUGAGGAAAGGAUUCACGGGUUGGUUAUUGCUAAAACUUGGCUUCCACUGAGAAUAAAUACCUAACCAACUAAAAGCAAUUGCUUUGAGCUUAACUCCACAUAAAAGCUAGUCCACCUCAGCCAAACAGGACAUUUGCUGAGUAUGUUGAUGUAUAUUCACCCUUGCUUUCACAAAACACCAGGUUGCCUUUGGUGCAAUCUAUUCUCGGGUAAAGAAGGAGAAGAAAGCGUCGAGGCACAUCUCUAGGAGUUCCAGGACUUCGAUGAGUUCGAGGAUUAGGCUAGCGACCUCCCCUAGUCAGCUGUCUGUGGUGGGUUCGUUUACGUUGGCUACGUUUCUAUUAUGUGCAAUUUGAUUUAUAUUAUGUAAAUGACUCUAGUAUUUAAUAUUAUUACUUACUCUUUAGUGUUAUUUGAAGCAUUGUGCUAUGAUGAGUCAUUUAUGUAAUCGUUGUGUACGUGAAUUUCUGAUCCUGGCACGUACAUGGUUCGCAUUCGGUCUACCUUCCAAAACCAGGUGUGAGGAAAAGGUAGCUAAGAAUCGGUGGUGCACGAAUGCAGUUUUGGAAUGGGUGACAGAGAACCCAUGCUAUGGUCCCAACAGCAUUGAUAAAAAAGAUCGAAGACAAGUAUAACAUUACGGUGACUUACAUGAGAGUAUAUGUCGGUACCUUGAAACAGGGGUACCCCUUACUAUAGUAUGAAGGCGCGGUGUCCACGUGUCUAUCUCUAGUCGCAUGGCAAACAACACCCGACCCCACCACGCGGACGGCUCCGGGGCCACCACGUGGCUAGAGAAGACGAUAUGGUCCAAGGCACUAGCAGUGGGUCCGGACCCCCAUGGGAAAGUGCCGGACCCCUGUAUAUACGGACCGGACCUCCGGGUAAGGUCCAGGACCUCCACGGGCACAAACCGGACCCCUGGGAUGGGUCCCGGACCCCUCUGUGUGGGGUCCGGGCCACUCACAAUAGGUUCCCGGGAUUCUGGGACAAAGAGUACCCAGACCUUAAUCAAGACCAGGCGGGGGUCCAGAGCUGACACGUGUCCGGACCAUGCCGGGUACGCUUCUGCUCCCCGCUCAGGUGGAGACCCGAUGCUGCCACGUGGCCCACUGUCCAUGAUGUAAGCCAGCGAGCGGAGCCUGACGUAAGGCCUCUGGGCCGCGCGGCCUCUGCAUUUAUUGCGGAUAAGUCGUGCCGCCUGUCCACUCCACUAGCAGGCGAUGUGCCGCCUCAGCAUUUAAUGAGCCCUGUCCACUCCACUGGCAGGCGAUGUGCCGCCUCAGCAUUUAAUGUGCCAUGUCCACUCUGCUGACGGGCGGCGACCAGGCCAACCUAUAGGCAGCGUGCUUGUCUAUUCCGUUGGCAAGCAGUACGCCCGUGCUACGGCGUACACUAUGCUCAUCAUCACCCGCGCGUUACCAAGGAAGCAGCGCGGGAUAUCAAUACUAUGUGCACUACGAACAUUAUGACGCUCGGAGAUCUUCUAGGCGACACUGGCAUUGGAUACUUCUAUAUGUAUUCCCUUCGUUUUGCCCCUGGGCCCACAUGUCGGGGCUCAGCACCCUUGUACGUGCCCCCCUUGAGCUAUAAAAGGGAGGGCACAUGACAUUACAGGGUCAGACCCAACUGAGACACACACACACUCACUCAAACUCACGAGUUCAUACAAGCUCUCAAGCUCAAUACAUCAUACAGUGGAGUAGGGUAUUACGCUCCGGCGGCCCGAACCACUCUAAUCCCUUGUGUGUUCUUGUGUUCUUCCCGAUUCCAUCUAGUAGGCAAAACGCUUAGGCCCCUCCUCAUCUUAGGAUUUAGGGUGGGUGCGUUCCGCCACCUGGCCAGAGAAUUCCCUCUCCGACAGUAUAUUAUGGUAAGAAGAUGGCGCUUGACAAAAUUUAUGGUCCGUGGAAGGAUAGUUUCAACUUUAUGUUCACAUACAAAGUUGUGGUUGAAACGAUGUGCCCAGGAAGUGUUAUCGAGAUUGACAAACAUACAGUGGCAUAUAAAGUGAGAGGCAAAACUAUGGAAAGGAAUGUUUCAAGAGGGUGUUUGUGUCAUUCAGAGCCUAUUGGAAGGGAUUCUUAUCUGGUUGUAGGCCUUACUUGGCUGUGGAUGCAACCUCUCUGAACGAAAGAUUUAGAGGACAACUGGUAGCUGCUUGUGCAACUGAUGCACACAAUUGGCUUUUUCUAGUUGCUUAUGGUGUGUUAGAGGAAGAAUCCACAGAUAGUUGGACUUGGUUUCUUCAGAAUUUGCUACAGGUUAUUGGGUUUCCGAAUGGGCUGGAAAUACACAAACGCUUGUAAGGGUUUGGAAACUACAAUAGAUGAGAUGUUCCAUGGAAUAGAGCAUAGGGAAUGCGCGGCACCUUGUUGAAAACUUUGGAAAAUCUUUUAAGGGGAAAAUAUUUGAUGACAAUUUAUGGCCUGCAUCAUUGACAUGUAGCCUGAAGAAGCAUAACUACCACUUGAAUCAAAUGUACACAAAGCCAAAGGUGCAGGCAUAUAGGGAGAAGAAUAACACCAAGAUAUGGGCUAGAAGCAAAUUUAAUGGGCUAUGCAAGGUAGAUUAUAUGAACAACAAUCUUGCAAAGUGUUUCAAUGCAUGGAUCCAGAGAAUUAAAGGCCUACAUUUAGUUGAAUUUCUUGACAAGAUUAGACAGAUGAUCAUGGCAAAGUUUGAGUUGCGACAAAGAACAAUUGAAAAUUUUGCUAGCCACAAGAUAAUCCCCAAUGUGAAGAAAACAUUGCAUGCCAAAACUAGAGGUUUAAAGAUGUCAUUGAUUAAGCACAAGCCUUUUGAGGCAGAGGUGACCAUGUUGGAUAGAGAGAAGAGGGAAUGGUGGUAUCCAGUGGACCUAGAAAAGAGGACAUGCACUUGUAGGCAUUGGCAGAUUAGCGGGCUCCCUUGCAUCCAUGCCUUGUUUUUAUCACAUUACUUCGAGGUCCAGCAUCUGAGAUUGAUCAAUAUGUACAUGACUACUACUCUGUUGAUCAGUUCAGUGCAACUUAUGCUGAUAAUGUGCCUUCCAUUGGGUCAAAGCAACAAUGGGAUAAUGCCGAUCCUGGUUUUGUGCUACAUGCUCCAGUAUAGACAAGAGCACCGGGAAGGCCAAGGAAGACUAGAAUAAGAUCUAGUGCUGAGGGCGUAGGAUGGACCGAGGAAACGAAAAUGCAAGAGAUGUGGCGGAUUGGGACAUAUUGCCUAUUGGUUACUUAUUUUUUAUUGCUAUGAGCCAAAAACAAGACACCACAAAUGCUAAAUGUUAAAGACAUUUGUCCUUCGAAGUAUUAUCACCUUUCGAGGAUAAUGAGUCUCGGACAAAGGUCAUGAAGAACAAGUCUUCAGUAUUCAUAAAUAUAUAUACAAUAUUGCAAGUUUUAUAUUACAAUGUAACAUUAUGUUGAAUACUCAUUUCAUUUCACAUGUCAAACCAAUAAUACAAUGUAUCUUAUAUAUUAAUAAAAUGAUACAAAGUGUAUAUUACAUUUGUACCUUCGGCUUGCUCGAAGGUAAAAGUGCGAAUAUAGUUUCUCAAAUUCAACGUGAACAGUAUGAGGAUACUGUUCACCUAUUUAUAGGCAAGAGACACAGCCCAAGCAAAAGUACAUUUAUGACCCUGAUAUCUAUACAUUAUUCUAACACAAAUAUUAAGGAUAAGCGGGUCUUUUCCUCUCUGACUCAAUGUCAUGUCUAACCUUCGUAACUAUCUUGAGCCAGAGUAUUAACUCUUCGGUGUCUUGUGCAUGGUUGUUGCAGCUUCGGCACUCAAUCCCUUUGUUUGCAAACAAUUCCUUCGUCAUAAGGACCUUUGGCAGAGAAGGAGACCCCUAACAUUGCCAGGAACUAUAAACCUUUGGCAGACGAGACCCCUAACAUUGCCAGAAACUAUAAAAAUGCAAUUUAUCCAGCUUUUGGAGAAGAUGACUACUAGGUACAGAAAAUGCAGUUCAUCUAGCUUUUGGAGAAGAAGACCCGGUUGCUAGAGCCAUGGAGUCCAGUGAAAAUCUUGUUUUAUUGUCCAGUGAAAACCCAGUUGUUGGAGCCAUCAUGGAGUCUUACAUUCCUGCCUCGGUCGAGCCAUCCUUUGUUGAAAGGUAGUAUUGAAUUUCAAGUUAGUUUCUUUUUCAAGUUACUCUACUGCGAUCUAUAAUAAAAAUCUUGUUUUGUUGUCCAGUGCAAAUCCGGUUGCUGGAGCCAUGGUGGAGUCCUACAUUCCUGCCUCGGUCGAGCCAUCCAAUGCUGUUUCAUCAAGGUUGUAUUGAAAUUUGUCAAUUCAACUUAAAUGUGCUUCAAAUUGAAGUUUGUGACAUUUCAUGUUUUGUGUAGGGAUUCCAUUGCGGUGAAGGAAAAGAAAAGGAAGAGAGGAAAGGAGGUUGUACGCACAACUAUAAAUAGUCCAGCGAAGAAUACAAGGAGCAACGGAGGAAGGGGGGCCUGCUGCCGCGGCGGUCUUGCAGAAGGAUGGCGAAUCGGAGGCGGGGGGAACCUGCUGUAGAGCACGCCAGCGUGGGAGGCGCACGGGGCCGACGGGUGCCGCGGCCGUGGAUGAGCAGGAUGGGGAAUCGAUAGUGGCUGCUGCUGCAACGAGGAGGAACUGAGGUGGGGUGGGGAUCUAUGCCGCUGGGGAGCCGGUGAUGGAGAGCUAGAGUGGAUCAAUGCAUCGCCGCCGGCCGCCGAGCAGAGAGGCUUCCCUGAUCUCAAUCAGGAUAACUGAGGGGAAUGGGGAAAAUUGGUUGGUGGCCCCACCUGUAAGGGCUGAGCAGUGGGCCUUAAAUGUCAGACUCGACACAAUGGACGUGUGACACCCCAAGUGUCUAUUUCGUGUUAUGCCGUGAGUUUUGUCCUAAGCUUGGAUGUUCAGUGAAAAUUUUUAUUUCUCGAUCGUGUCUAUCUCUGUUUAUCAGGAUUAUUCAUGGAAGUUCACCGAAUUUGGAGUUAUUCGAUCUCGAGACAAAUGCCGAAAUUAGAGCAUGUUAAAACUUUUUAUUUCUCGGGACGAAUGCAAACUCGAUAUCUCAACUUAUAAAUCUCAUCUAAAGCUCAUUUAAUCAACUCUCGACUGUUAUUAUUUGAUCUGUGCUCGAGUCCAAUUCCUCGAACUUUGAUCUAUGUCCGACUAUUUUAUCCGGAUCCGUACUCUCAAAUGGAAUGCUAAUCAUUCUUAUCCGACUCAGCCUAAUAUCUCUAUGUCCGAAACAGACUCAAAACCCAUAUCGGCAGUGAUUUUAAAAUGACAUGAUUCGCCUUCUCCGACUAAAAAUACGAAGCCAAUCAAAAUAUUGAGAUAAAAAUUAGUUCUAAAAUAGUGCGUGAGAGAAUUUCAAAGUGACGCCAAAAUAAAAAUGCUCGAUCUAAAUUAAGCACUCGGUCGUCUGUCAUCUAGACGUCGGUUUGUUUUUCGUUCGUCACACCAGUUCGAGUUUUCUCGCAUGUGAAUCGUCGUUCAAAUCCAGCGAUAUUUUUCGGGUUUCUUAGCCUAGAAGCAAUCCUUGCUUCUCCCCUAAGUGAGCUCAAGAGAAACCCUAACCAUAGAGCUUCCCAACAAAUAGAAGUGCCUUCCUUGCAAAUUGGAAAUUUUCCAUUCCCUGCUAGCCACCACAGCACUUCUUCCUCCUCCCUGUCACCCUCUUCUUCACUUCGUCUCCAUGCUUGACCCCAGCCGAGCUCGCCACCCACCUCGUCGGUGCCGGUUCCGCCUUAGUCGCGCCUGCCACUACGAGCUCCCUACUUCGUCAUCCAUGGUAGCCACUUCCUCAACGCCUCCAUCUCACCCCAGCACCUGAUUUCCUCCACUUGGCACCCCCUAUAGGUGCAGCAGUUCAGCUCCUCCAUGGUCGCGUCCAAGGUUGGCUCCAACCCCCCUCCUCUCUGUUCAUUGCGCAGAGGAACUUCAGCAAGACUGGCGCUUGCCCCUUCCUGCACCUCCCCUCCAGGUCGGUUCCCUUAUUCUCUCGGAUCCUAGCAGCGUGAGCAUGCGCCUUCCCCAGCGGGACUCCUCAUCUCCCUCCUCCAAGCGCUUCCCUGCUCCAAAAUUCGGUGAGGCCUCGCCUCCAUACCAGCUCCCUUGAUCGGCGAGCUUCUCCAUCUCCAGCGCCGGCCACCCCCUUCACCGCACGGCGUCUCCCCCAUACUCGACCUCCGCAAGCCGUCGAUCUGUGCAGCAAACAGCAACCACGAUGAGCUGCUAGUUGUCCCGCGCUUCUUGUGUUCGAUAAAAUGACCGCACCAAUAAAUCGUGUAGUAAACUGUGUCAUUGAUCGCAGCCCUUUUCGUCGUCACAGCUCGCGCAUUUCGUGCUCGAUGAAAGCCCCAAGCCGUGGACAACAUGCAUGCAUGCGCGACCCGAGUCGGCCAGGUUGUUUGAUGUGUGCGAUUUGUAGUUUGUCUAAUUAUGUUUUGGUUGAUGUGGUGUAUAUUGGUGUUUGAAUAUGUAUGGGUAUAAAAUGUUUUGGUUAUAUGCAUUGGUUGGGUCACCUUCACGAUUUAGAGAACAAGGAGUUGUUUGAUGUGAAAAGUGAGUUUGAAUGCAAGUUAUUCUGUGAAGGGUAUAUUAGUUCUAUGCAUGCAUGUGUGAUUGACAGGAUUACAUGCAUGAUGAAUUUAGUAAAAAUCCAUCGGUGUCACUUGUGUUUAAGUUGAUGUUUAUUUGUGCAUGGAAAGUAGUAAUGUAAUUAAUACUUAGAAGGCUUAGACGAUGGAAGUAAUUGUCGGCGUUAUUAUGUCGAUUUUGUUGCAUGGCGAAUAAUUGCCUUCGCUUGUAUGGCAAAGAGAUGUUUCGCUUUAAUAGUCAUCGUCUUCACUAAGUAGUGAGUGGAUAAAUGUCAUGAUUAUUGAUUGGAGGUUCUACGAGAGUGCUAUCGCUGUCCAAAAUUUAUCGGAAGCAAGUAGCAUUCAUAAGUCGGUCCUUGUUGAAAUUGAAGAACAAUCCGAUAAGAUAUGCACCUAAGCGCUUUAGAUCCUUCAGUAGUAAAAUGUAGUCUUAUGGAGUUUUAUGCCAUGUGUUAACGCUCUUCAUGUUAGAUCUCCUAAAAUGUGGUGUUUUAGGUAACUUGUGUGUUAUCCAGUUUAAGUUGAGAAAUGGUUAAGAAAACCUAAUUAAUCUGCUCCUACCCAUGUUUUGAGUUGAAGUGUCUAAAAUGGUUUGUUAAGUUUUAUACUGUGAUAGCCAACUCUUGUUAAGUAGAAGGAGUCAAUUGCGUUAAGUGAUUGUAUAUAUAUGUGUCUCUAGCGCUCCAAAUAGCUAGAAAUGUUAAUUAGUAAACAAAUGGUAUAAUGAAUGAUGAAUGGUUAAGUCUUCCUAAAGUGGUACACUUCUCACAAUUGGUAAAGUAAAAUUGUAAGAGUCUAAUGGUUAGUUAACUUCAAUCAACCUUAAGUUAGCAAAUGUAGUGAUAUGGUCGAAGCAAUGGAACUAGUUAUUAAUAUAUACAAACAUAUAUGUAUAACACUUGAGUAUAUGAGGUUUUGUGCCUUGAUGUCAAUUACUAGUUUAUAACGAAGUCAUGAUAAAUUAGACUUGAGAAUUGGUGUUAGUAUCUCUCUAUAAUUUUGCUUGGUGAUUUAGUUGAAUGCUCUUGUGCUAGCAAACUAAAAUUCAUGUGUGUACAGUUUUGGUUGUGGGAUUAAUCUAGCAAAGUAAAGUGUGUUCUCAGUAGAUAUGUGCUAUAUAAAAGUUAUAGUUCACUUGUGUAUCUAGCCCGUCCUAAAAUUUCAUGAGCUAAAAAUUAAUGGUUUAGAAGUUAUGCUUUUCACAAAUUCAGUACCUGAAUCUGUCCAAUUUAUGUACAGAUUUUAGAGAUUGCAAUGUUUGUUUAAGUUCAGCUUAGGAUCAGUUCUUGUCGAUCAUAAGUAAGAUGUAUAUAACUUCCUUAUCUUGUUGGUGUUAAAAUUUCGUAACCAUAGGCCUGAUAGUUAAGAGUUAUGAAUUUUACAAAAUGAUUGCUCUAUUAUGUCCACUGUCUGGACAGAUUUCGAAAACUGUAUUGUUUGGGUUGAUUAAAAUAUGAACCACUUCUUGGUGAUUAUACAAAUUAAGUAGUUCUUUUAUUAAGCUUUCUAAAAAGUCUUGGGCCAUCCUUUUUGGUGGUCUAAAGCUCAAGUAUAGAUGUUUUAAGUAUGAAGACUGAAUCUGUCCAGUUAUGGACAGCAAGACAUUCAUAGUGUAUUUUACCCUUAAUACAUAUUAAAACAACCUGAGAUGUUUAUAAAUAAUUGGUAGACAAUUUCAUUAGCUUUCCAUAAAGUCUAGGAUCAAUUGAUUUGGAUGUCUGGGUAUUUAGUUAUGAAUUUUUGAAGUCACAAGUCUGAAUCUGUCCAAAUCUAGAUAGAGCUGUCGUUUAUCACUAUUUAACCUUGUUAAGUGUAUAAUCGCCUUGAGAUGAUAAUACCAAAGUUGUAGAACGUUUCUUAAGCUUUCCAAAAAGUAUCUGUUCACUGUUUUUGGAUAAAUAUCUUGUGAUUUAUAACUAAAACAAUCAACUGUUGUGCUGCUGUCCCAAACAUGUUGAAUGUGAUUGAUUGCUCUACUCCGUUGUGCUGUUUUGAGUCGACUGCUUGCUUGUGUUGGUCUUGGCUGAACAAGUAAUAAUGAUUGCAACUAAUAUAAUUGAGCCUAAAUGUAUAAGUUACUAGUACACAUCUCACUAAGUUAGUGUACUAAUUUGGUUAAGGUAGUAUAAUAUGUAAUUUGCUCACAAAGUGAAUAAUGUACUCUCUCUUUAACUUUCUGCUAGUCCUAGAUACUACUAAGUAACCAACCUUAUAAAAGUAGUAUAAUAUGUAAUUGUGAUUAAACUAUCUACUUGUGUGUGUUCUCUUGGAUGUGUGCUUGCAUGAGAAUCUUAUGAAUGAUUGUAGAACCUAAUUAAAUAAUCAUUCCUUUUAACUAAAUCUGCCUAUAUAAAAGCCAUAGCAAAUUUAUGUGUACUUAACUAGUUUAAUAAUAAGUAGCCAAUGAACGAUUAAACUGAACAUGGUAAAUGUUUGUACUCGUGGUGUCGUGUUUGUGUUGGUUAAAUAUAGGAAAUGUUCGUCGUCUUUCCAGUAAUGUUGACUUGUUGUGCCCGAGGACGUAUAGAUAGCUAGGGUUCACGUAUGGAUGUUUAUGUCUCUUACUAGUUAAUGUUAGUUCGCUACCAUGUACUUGGAGUAUCUUGUGCUACUUUCAUCAUAUUCAUACAUAUGCAUCCUGCAUCUCAUUCAGGACCAAGAGAUGAUGACCGUGCAAGUGAUGUGGUGCCAACCACAAGAUGCAGUUGGUGAACGAUCCAAAGAAUGAUGGACUUAACCAGUAGAUUCUUACCAAGCGAGUGUCAUCUAUCAAACACUAUCUAGUGUGGAUUCCAGGCAAGCCCUAGUUUUAUAUAUAAUUGUUUAUAUAUGUUAUUUUACUACACUUAAUGUUUGUAGGAUUGUACUGUGCACUUAAGUGUAGGAGUUGUUUGGAACCCUAGUUGCACGAACUUAGGUUUCCUUUUAAGAUGGGUACUAGUAUGCUAGGUCGAGUAGCUGCUAUGCUAAUUUAGGAUCUCAGUAGAACUCGAGUGAUUUUUCUAGCACUCGCGCGAGGUGUAACACCCUAAAAAAUCGUGCCUUGAUUACUGGGAAAGGUUCUUCAAAGUAUUUAGAUUAAAAUAUCUUUUAAUAAGGAUUUUAUUGGUUUGGGAUCAUUUUCUUAAAAAAUAAUACUAAAUUUUACUUUGGUUAUUCAAAGAUAAGAAUAGAUCUAGAAACUAAAAUCUGAAUUAGGAAGUACAUAAAGAUAUAUGAGAGUAUCAUUAAAUUUUGAUAUCGCAAAUAUAGAAGUGGCCUAUUAAAUUUAAUAUUUCAAACUCAGAAAGAGAUGAUAGAAAGAUUUAUGUUAUUAAGUUUGAGUAAAACUGUUCUUUCAUGAACUGUACAUGGAGAAGUUGUGCCUAAAUAAAUAAAAUAACUAACAUAUAUAUAUGUCAUUGCAUUAAAUGCUGAAUUUUACUUGAUGGUGCAUUAUGCGUGAGUUUGAAAUUUGUUCAAAUCUGAAAAUUUAAAUUUAAUUUGAAUCAAGGAAACUGAAAAUAGAAAACAAAAGGAAAACAGAAAAAUACAAGGAAAAAAGGAAAAACAUUGUUUGUGCCCAAUUUUCGGUCGGACUGCUCACCCUCACCCUUGGUCGGCCCACUCCCUUCUCCCACUCACAGCCCAACCACCUCGGCCCAGCUUCUCAACCGCGCGCACGCAGUCGGCUGACGCCUGGGGCCCAUGGAUCAGCUUCUCAUCACCAUCGCUGACUAGGUGGCGCCCACCUGUCUGUAACCGAUUCCACGCGUGGGUCGUGCCCACUAGAGAAUGGGUCCCGCAUGUCAGCGCGUUCGUCUCCUUCGCAACGACGGGCGUAAAAGUCGCCGCCAUGGUCGGGUCGUGGGUGACCUUAUCCGAACCAGGGCCUAGGAGAUAAAGGAGCACCCCCGUGACCCGUUCCUCUCCCCUACCACCACCUCGCGCGAGCCUAGUUCCCCAGAGCAAACCGACACCACCACCGCCUCUGUGAGGAAGAAGAGCAGCCGCGGGGGGGGGGGGACUCCGAAGUCGAUGGCACCUAGGCCUUCGGUAUUGUGCCAACAUCCUCUGCAAGACCGAAGAAGGGAGGUGCUGGCCGUGCCGCCUAGAAUUCGCCUCCGGCUCUGCUCUAAUUGCUCGUCGGAGCGUUUCCUCGCUUUGGAUCCGCCGCUGCGUCAUGGGAGGCAUCACUGGUGCGACAAACUGUGGUAAGUACUCUUCCACCCAACUCGCCUUCACCUCCUCCACGUGUAGCCGCCUGUGUAGCAUGUUUUGGAGGCCUCGCAUGCGGGUUGGCCGGCUCCGGCGAUGGCGUCUGCCAUGGGAGGGCGGCGCCGCCGUGUAGAGACAUUAGGAGAGGGAAGAAGGCCCCCCUGGUCGUCCGAUCGCCAGUGGGUGGUUUAGAUCGAAAUAGAGUAUCCCUGUGCGCCAAUUAAAAUCCGAGCCCUUGGAUUGGUGGCGUGCGUCCGAGAUCAAAUGUGUACGUGGACAUCCUACCGACCCUCAAAUAUGGAUCUGACGGUCAGUAGUGCGUAUCGAUUCAUAGGAUUGCAUAAUUUAAUCUCGACCGUUCACUUCAGAUCUGUUCAUACCCAUUCGACCGAUAGACUUUACUAAAGAGACCCUGCACUUCUCUCGAAUUAACCCGCAGUCCACGCUGUGGCGCUCUGAGUCAUUGUAUAUUUCGCAUAUAAGCCCCCGUGCUUCCAGUUAUUCAUGCGCCCAGUCCAGGAAACUAGAAAAUUUGAAAUAGGAAAUGAUUUUUAAUGAGAAAAUAAAUGCUAGAACUUGGUUUAAUUCAUAGAAAAUUCAUAUGAAGUCCAAAUUAAUCCAUUCCAAUUCCUAUAAUUUUGUAAUAUUAUUGUUUAUCAUUUAUUACCACUGUUUUGACAUGAAUGUCACAAUAAAAUCUAUAUCAUAUUUAAUCUUGUAUAAAACAUAUAAAACCUUCAGAAAUUCAUAACUCAAAAUCUAUAACUCAAAAUUUAAUGAUUCCUGUUCCUAUGAUCUUAUUUUAAUAUGUAGAUUAUUAAUAUGUAUUUUGUAUACAUGAUUGGUGUGAUGUUAAUUUUUUCUAUACCAUGUUUGUUUGUAUUGCUACGACUAGCAGUGAGGUCACGAGGAUCUAAAGAAUCAUCCUAGUACUUGGAAUCUGAAGUGCCAGGCAAGUUGUGCCCUUGACCACUUUUGUUACCCAAUAAUGUUCUUUAUUAUCACUUAUUCAUGCAUAGGUUUAAUUUUGAUGGGACCCAAUAGGUCACCCUAGAUUGUUUAUCUUUUUACCUUGUUUACCCCUGAAUCAUUGGGUAGUUAUGCUAUUGCUUUACAUGGUUUUGGGUUAAUAUUUCAUUAUAUCCAUGUUCCUAUUAUUUUGUUAUGUUAUUUAUGUUCAUGAUAAGAUCAUUAUGUUAAUGGGAACAUGGAGAACCACCCGGGAAAACAGUGCCACCACAAGGGUGGUAUGGGACGCCCUUGUCUGACUAAUUAGGAAAGCUAGUGAAAGACUACCUUACCUGAAAGGGGCAAGGGCAGUAGGGGAUUGCAUGCAGGGAGGUUCUCGGGUUGAUUUUUCUGCGAUGGCAGUGAGACGAGGGAUUCUUGCAAGUGCUCUUCCCAUAAACCGUAGCAUGUUUUUCGAAGCUAGUGGAACUUUGUAAAGGCCUCAUAGUGGAUCCCUAGCCAUUCACCUCGGUAGUGUCUAAGGGCUUUGCAAACCCAAGCGACAUGGGAUACACGACUUGUGGGUACAGGGUACAACCUCUGCAGAGUGUAAAACUGGUAUACGAGCCGUGCUCACGGUCAUGAGCGACUCGGGCACUCACAUGAUUAAUUUAUGUAACUUAAAUUCAAUUUGUCAUUUGCAUGGGAUUAUUUAUUAAUUUUGUUCUAUUAUUUAUUAUGGUUUGGUAUUUACUUACACUUAGUAAUUGCUAAUAAAAUCUGACCAACUUAUUAAAAACAAUGCUCAACUUUAACCCCUAUUGUUGAUCAGCUUUACACAUCACAUGAACUUCCACCUUUGGUGAGUUCAUGCCACAUUAUUCCCCACAACUUGUUGAGAGAUGAACAUGUGUGAGCUCACCCUUGCUGUCUCACACCCCCCAUAGGAGAAGAACUGGUGGUUCAAGAGGAGCCAGGCCACGAGGAGUUCGAUUUGAUCUAGGUGGUGUCUCCCAGUUGACUUAUUGGUGCUAAGGAUGGACUUAGUUCGUUCCAUAUUUAUGUUUUAUAUUGUAAGACUUCAGCUAUGUAAUAAGUACUCUAAUUAUAUUGUGACAUUUAUCUCUAUACACUCUGUUAUUAUAUAUGUUGUCUUCUUUGGCGCAUACAUGAGAUGCACCCGACUUUGUUCCUUAAAUUCGGAUGUGACACGAGGUCAGAAAUUGAUUGUAUCCACUUUGAUAUUGGAACUAUGAUGGUCUAUGGACAAGGAUCCAUGGGGAUGCCUUGUCUAUGAGAUGAAAUCGGAAUAAGGAUUAAUGUGUGGUACCGUGUGUCAAGCGUUUGAAAGUACUAAGCACAAGCCGAUAAAUAUGGUAAAUCAUUAAGCCUAGUACCCGAGUGAACCUGCCAGCAGACAUACCUCCCCACGUGUUUGUUGGAGACUUGUUCUCAAAUGCUGAGUUAAGAACAAGGCAACACAGAGAAUGUUAAACGUUAAAGCCAUUCGUCCUUCGAAGCAUUAUUUCCCUUGGAAUACAAUGAUUUUCGGACGAAGGUUAUGAAGGACAUACCUUCAUCAGCACAACAUAUAAUAAUGAAGAAGGAAUCAUAUGAAGUAUAAGAGAUAACAUAGACAAUUAUGUAUUAUUAUUAACUCAUUUCUAUUUUUUUAUUAUGGAGAAAUAGAAAUGAUAUCAUAUUACAAAUGUACCUUCGGCUUGAAAGAAGGUAAGAGUACAAGCGUGACGCAAAAGCAAAUGCCAAGUCAGCGUGAGUAGUACGGGAGCACUGUUCAUCUAUUUAUAGGCACGGGACGCAGCCCAUGUAAAAUUACACUCAUGCCCUUUACAUUUGCUAAUGACUCUAUAGUAACCCAUCGAGGUCUAAAUAGCCUUUUCCUUUUUAAGUUGGUUUCCUUUUCUUCUAUAGUGCCGAAGCUCUCCUGGACAUAGCUUCGGCUCUACGCUAACCUUCGUGUUCUUUGUGCUUCUUCAUACUAUGCUUCUGAUCCGAAUCCGAAGAUACCUGUUCAUGUAUUGUACUCCACAAACAUUGUUAAAUCAUGUUUUUGAGGACCUUAGGAAGCCAAAGGCCCCCAACAGUAGCCCCUCGCAAUAUUAAUUUGUUAGAAUGAUAAAUUCAGAUUGCGAUAUGGAUGAAGGCCCUAAGCCGAAGGUCCGAAAAAACAUCUUCCCUUUGCUAGAAUAGCAAUAGUCAAUGACAAGCGGGGCCCUCUAGCUUGCAACACACUAGGCGUAUAAAUAAGAGCACACCACGAGCUCAUUUGACAUGCUUUUUGCCAUCUGCUCUACUUGCUCAAUUUUUAGCUCUUGCCUACCAACGCUUGCUUGGCUUUUUAAAUUCUCUAAGCUUCGGCUUUAAGAGCGCUUUUUCACCAUUUCCGAAGAGAAGAUGUCUCAAGAUAAGAAAACUGUUGCUGAAACGAAGCUGAGCGAGGAUGAGAAGCUUCUUAUGGAAAAAACCGCUGAAUUCAUCGAGUCAAUUUCAAAGACCAACACAGAAAAGAUUACAAAAGAAAUUCUAGAAGGGUUAUCUGAAGAUACCGAUGACAGAGAUAGUUAUGAUGUGGAAAGUGGGGGCGAAGACUCCGAAGAUCGGCCGUGGCGACCAAGUCACACAGUCUUCGGAAAAUUAACUAUCAGGCAAAGUCAUCUUGAUAACAUGAGAGGAAGGUAUUUUCGAGACAUAUCCAUCGUGAGGGCUGACAACAGAGACAGGACUGCUCCUGCUCCUGAAGAAAAUGAAGUCAUAAUUUACCGAAGCUUCUUCAAGGCUGGGCUUCGGUCCCCCCUAAGCAGUUUUGUGGUUGAAGUUUUAAAGAUAUACCAGAUUUUUCUUCACCAGAUUACUCCCGAAGCCAUCAUAGGAAUGGGAAUCUUCAUAUGGGCUGUGAGGAGCCAAGGUUUGGAACCAAGUGCAAAAGGUUUCUGCAGUAUGCACGAACUUUUAUAUGAGACGAAGCCCUGGGGUAAGGAGCAAUAUCACAACAAUUUUGGUUGCUAUAGCUUCAUUGCUUGUUCAGGCUCAAUCUGCCCAGUGCCAACCUUUCGAAAGAGAUGGCCUGGAGACUGGAUGAAAGAAUGGUUCUAUGUGAAAAAUGAUUUAAGGGCGAGGGAAUAUAUUAAAGAGGUCAUAAUGCGCCCCAUCUGGUCCCGCUUUGGCCUUCGGAAACCGAAGGUAGAGAUUGAUGAAGCGGCUGAAGAAUGCCGAAGGGCCUUUGGCAUAGUUUGUUCUUUCAUCGGGACAAGGGACUUAGUCCAAGAGCACGUGGCCUUCAGGAUAUGGCCAUUGGUAGUCAACUGGGAGAUGCCAAAAGAAACCAUCAGCAACCCCAAUGAAGGUGGUUUGGUUCGACUGAAAUAUACCUUCAGGUUUGGAGACCAAUUUGUCGAACCAGACGAUGACUGGCUGAAGUGCAUCGAAGCUACAAGUGAUGAACUGCUUGGGCCGUACUCCAAAGCGGAAGAUAAUGCGCUAUCUGUGGCCUUCGAAAGCCGGAAGAAGAAAAGACUAAAUAGAGUUUUUGAUGCUAUUGGGUUCAUGUACCCUGACUACCGCUACACGUCACGAGGGCAGAAAAGAAAAAGUGCAACUUCCGGGAAGGAUGAUGCUUCAGCUGCUCCAAGCAAGCCCGCGCCGAAGAGGAAAAAGGUGAAGGUUCUUACUCACCGGUCGCGAUAUAUUGAACCGGCCGUAGUGCCCGAAUUUGGCGGUGAAACCUCUUCGGCUACUGAAGCCAAGGAUCCUGCGCCUAUACAGAAGAUUGAAGAGCCGGCCGCAAUGCCGAAGGCAUCAUCGAUCAAAUUAGCUGAGCCGGCCAUAAUGCCGAAGGCCGAUAAUAUUGAAGAGAUAUUAGAAGUUAUAAGCCCUUCGGCAGAAAUGUCAGUGCCGAAGGCACAAAAAGAUCUUAUAGCGACCCCAAGAGGAAAAGGAUGGUCAACGUACUAGAUGUGCUGGAGAUGAUAAAAACAAGCUCUACUCCAAGGAAAUCAGCCGAAGCUCCAAAGACACAGUCUGAGACAAGAGUAACCGAAGCCGAAGCUACAAAGAGCCAGGCGGAAACCGAAACUGGUCCUUCAGAGCCCGCCAAGGAGAAAUCCUUGGAAAUCGGAGAAAAAGAAACGGAAAAAGAAACUACAGAACAAAUUUUGCCUGAAAAACAUCUUCCGAAGCUCUUGAUUAUUUUGUACGACAUGCUUCAGGAAAAAGGUUAUCUAAAGAAGAAAAGCAAGAAGCUCAAUACUAUGCCCGAAAACUGAAAUAUCCAAAGGGUGCAUUGAUAUUCGAUGGCAGCGGAGAAGAAGAUUUCCUGUAUUGUCUCCCGGACAGCAAGGAAAUUUCUGUCUGCCGGGAGAUGGGCAAAAGCUUCGGAUUCCCGACACUAGAAGAUGGGCUUUCGGUGCUAUCGAAAGAUGAACUGGCGGACAUCUUAGCAUAUAAUAGUUUAAAGGUAUGAGAAUGAUUUUUUUGUAUUUAAAAACAAAAAAUUGUUUUAUUUGCUUAUACUUAAUAUCACACUUCUUUUUGCAGGGUCUGAUUCUUAGCAAUGCCCUUAGGGCUCAGAAAAAUGCCGAAGACGAAGGAUGUACUAUAGCUCUGAACAACCUUCGUUCUGAAGUAAUUGAACUAAGGAAUGAAGGUCUUGAAAAAGAUAAAAUCCUAAAUUCAUUGGUGAACAAAAUAAAAGAAGACGAAGUUACUUUCAAAACCCAAGCUGAAGCUCAGAAAUGCGAAAUUGAAGAUCUUCGGAAACAGCUGGCUGAAGCAAAAUUGAAAUGUGCUAUUGCUGAAGCUGACCAAGACGCCAGUGACUACUGUAAAAAAUACUGGGAAAAAACAGUUGUAGAGCUUCGAUCUUUAAAAGAAAGAUGCUAUGAAAAAUCUGUAGCAUGUGUAAAAAAAUGAAAACUAGUUUCGCCAAUGUUGGCGCAUAUUCUAGUGAAGACAACUUUGUACUGGGCGAUCCCGAAGGUCCAAUUGAAUGGAUCAGCGGCGAGGUCGAUGCCUUUGAGGAGAUUUUGAAUGGUCGCGGGGACGUCUGUGCCUUUUCUGGUGCAAGAGGGGUCACGGCUAUUUUGGAGAAAGCGGGGUGCGAACAUGUGAAAAUUCUGGCCCAAGCCGAAGUUGCUUUCUCUAUUGAUGACAUGAAGGAUCACUCAGCCGAAGCAAGCUUAGUUGGUGGAAAAUUCUUUACUGACAUAUGGGAGAAUGGCGGCCGAGGGACAACUCACUAAAUAAUAAAGAAAAGCGAAAAAGACACCCACGAUGCUAGAGAAGCAACGAAGGUAGCUGAAAGAGCUGCAGAACUCGAAAGGCGGAUAAGUAUUGCUUAAUAGCUUUUGACUUUAUAUUUUAUUUUUGUAACUUCGAACUUAUUUAUGCUUUCUACCACAGCCGAAUUAUCUCCUCCCCCGGAGCCCUUCGAGCCACUGGCCGAAACAGAGGCAAAAGAAUCAUAAGAGAUUAUUAGCAUGGCUUAACCAUUAUGGACGAAGUUGUUACUCAACUACUGACCAAAGCUGUAGACAAGGUUUUGAAAGAAGAAGAAUAGAUAUUGUAAAAAUAUUGCCAAAAUAUUAAUGUAAUAUUUGCUGGACUAUGCUUGUAAUAUUUGGUACUCAUGAGUUCUUAAUGUAAUAUGUAAAUGACUUUGUAAUCUAUUUCUUUGUGAUGCAUGAAAUUUUUAUUGUACAUACCGUUUUUGAGCCUUCGGCGAAAAAACACCUUCCCUUCUUUUCAUGCUUCGUAAAGAAGAGUUUUUAUGCUUCGUGAGAAAUCCUCCAAUCAUCGUAGAAACAUUAAUGCUUCGUCAGUAAUAGACUUUCUUCCUUGAUAUCAAAGUGCUUUAUAGAAAUGCUCCAAGCGUCGAUAUAACACCGAUACUUAGUCAAUAAAAGACCUUCUCUUCCUCUUUAGAGCUGAUAAAACCGUAUCUCUUCAAAACUUAUUUUGUGCCUUAGCACAAUUUCACUUUUUCGAAGCAUUCUUCGAAGAUCAACAUUAUGUCCCCUUCUUGUGCCAUUGAUGCAAUAUGAUGUAUGAUGUUAUGUUAUGUGAAAUGAUGUGAUGAUGUUAUGUUAUGCAAAAUGAUAUUUGUGCCAAAGACACACACACAUCCCCAUAGUGGAAUAUUCAAUCUUUUUGCCGUUUAUUUUUCGGCUUCACCGCUUAUUUUUCGGUGUAUCAGCGCUGACAUUCCGUUGUAAGCCUCCCUUAGGAGCUUCUUCGCCUUCUAUUUCGGCGGUAUCAGCGUUGAAUUUUCGCUGUAAGCCUCCCUUAGGAGCUUCUUCGCCUUCUAUUUCGGCGGUAUCAGCGUUGACUUUUCGUUGUAAGCCUCCCUUAGGAGCUUCUUCGCCUUAUAUUUCGGCGGUAUUUGGCUCUACAUUCCCUUUGGAACGACUUUUGAGCAGAAAACUUACACUAUGCUCCCUUAAGACUGACUUUUUGUAGCUUCAGCAAACUUACGUUGUGUUCCGUAGAACGACUUCGGCAAUUUUUUGUAGCUUCGGAGAUACUUGUGACUUAAAAGCGACUCUUUUGUGUUUCGGCGACUUUUUGGACUCCAUGAAUCUGUGGAGAAUAUAUAUAUUUCACUACGGCAAGGACGAAGCUAUUACAAGAAAUUGAAAACGACAAAAGAACUAGGCUCUCAAUGAUUGUUCCUUAUUGAAAAAGAAAAUGAUAACGAAUAUAAAGACUGUUUCAGGGGUAGGAUAUCUCUUAGUAGAUAUGCUUCGAUUCUGGCACAGUACUGUUGACUGUGCGAGCUUCGGACUCCUCCCUGAAUUCUCACUGUUGAUGCGUAUGUUGGCUCCCUUCUGGUUGCUGGCCUCGGGAAUAUGCAGGUUGUAGUGGUGGCGGAGGUGGAGGCUGUGGCCAAGAUGCCUGCGGCUGACUGGCCGAAGCAACAGACGCUGCAGGAUGGUUACCCACAUACUCUAUGAUGUAGGGCGAGUGAUAUGAAGCAGCAUGCAUGACCUGCUUCGGCUGGUUCUACUGGGCUGCAGCUUCUGCUAUUUCUUUCUGUUUCUGAAUGGUGACAUGGCACAUCCUUGUACUAUGGCCCUUUUCCGCACCACAGAAUAAGCAAUACAUUUUCCUGGGUUGAUCCCCAAACCUUCCUCCGAUACCCCUGGCGCCUCUGCCCCUUGAAGCUGGCGGCCGAAGAUAGCUUUGUUGCUGCCCCGAAGCUUGCGAGGAAUAUUGUGGCCUCUGUUGCUGACUUCCUUUGUCGUCAUUCUGGGAGGAGUGAAUUGAUCUGACAUGCCUUGGGUGGAUUCUCCCUCCAAAGCCCCUGGUCAUCUCAGAGAACCUGUAGGCUUCCUCCCUUCUUUGACGAAAGUCAUUAUCAGCGCGGAUAUAUUCAUCCAUCUUUUGAAGCAAUUUCUCCAGGGUCUGAGGGGGUUUCCUGGCGAAGUAUUGGGCCGUAGGUCCUGGCCGAAGCCCCUUGAUCAUGGCCUCAAUGACAAUUUCAUUGGGCACCGUUGGCGCUUGUGCCCUCAGACGCAAGAACCUUCGGACAUACGCCUGGAGGUAUUCUUUGUGAUCUUGCGUGCACUGGAACAAAGCUUGAACGGUAACCAACUUCGUCUGAAACCCUUGGAAACUAGUAAUCAACAUGUCCUUCAGCUUCUGCCAUGAUGUGAUUGUUCCUGGCCGAAGAGAGGAGAGUACCAGGUUUGCGCAACAUUCUUGACUGCCAUGACGAAAGAUUUUGCCACGACUGAGGUAUUGCCUCCAUAUGAGGAUAUGGUUGCUUCGAAGCUCAUCAGAAACUGCUUCGGAUCUGAGUGCCCAUCAUACAUGGGGAGCUGGGGUGGCUUGUAAGAUGGGGGCCAAGGUGUAGCCUGCAGUUCUGCUGACAGAGGAGAAGCAUCAUCAAAAGCAAAAUUUCCAUGAUGGAAAUCCUCAUACCAUUCAUUCAUUGAAGAAGCCUUCUUGGUGAAGCUCCCUAUGUUGGGGCCUUCGCUCUUGCUCAUCUUGAGCGAGAUGGCGUACUUCUUCAGUAGCUUCGUCAAUCUGCCUCUCAAGAUCGGCUAGUCGAGCCAUCUUCUCCUUCUUCCUUUGUACUUGUUGAUGAAGCAUCUCCAUGUUCCUGAUUUCUUGGUCCAACUCGUCCUCCUGGGGUGUUGGACUAGUGGCCUUCCUCUUCUGGCUUCGAGCCUCUCGAAGAGAAAGGGUCUCCUGGUUUGGGUCCAGCGGCAGCCCCUGUCGCUGAAGCUUUCUUCGGUGGCAUGACGAAGGUCAAUGCUUGCCGAAGGUGGUAGAAAAGAGUUCACCGGAGGUGGGCGCCAAUGUUGGAGACUUGUUCUCAAAUGCUAUGAGUUAAGAACAAGGCAACACAAAGAAUGUUAAAUUUUAAAGCCCUUCGUCCUUCGAAGCAUUAUUUCCCUUAGGAUACAAUGAUUUUCGGACGAAGGUUAUGAAGGACAUACCUUCAUCAGCACAACAUAUAAUAAUGAAGAAGGAAUCAUAUGAAGUAUAAGAGAUAACAUAGACAAUUAUGUAUUAUUAUUAACUCAUUUCUAUUUUUUUAUUAUGGAGAAAUAGAAAUGAUAUCAUAUUACAAAUGUACCUUCGGCUUGAAAGAAGGUAAGAGUACAAGCAUGACGCAAAAGCAAAUGUCAAGUCAGCAUGAACAGUACGGGAGCACUGUUCAUCUAUUUAUAGGCACGGGAUGCAACCCAUGUAAAAUUACACCCAUGCCCUUUACAUUUGCUAAUGACGCUAUAGUAACCCAUCGAGGUCUGAAUAGCCUUUUCCUUUUUAAGUCGGUUUCCUUUUCUUGUAUAGUGCCGAAGCUCUCCUGGACAUAGCUUCGGCUCUGCGCCAACCUUCGUGUUCUUUGUGCUUCUUCAUACUAUGGUUCUGAUCCGAAUCCGAAGAUACCUGUUCAUGUAUUGUACUCCACAAACAUUGUUAAAUCAUGUUUUUGAGGACCUUCGGAAGCCGAAGGCCCCCAACAGUGUUCAUCAGACAGGGUAUCCCAUUCCGGUUAUGAUGGGUACAAGUGCGGUCACUGCACAGCGGCGGCCGAGGUCAGUGGAUCAUUGUAUGCCAAUGAUAGUGGGCCCUGAUCUGCUGCCGGGGAAUCGAUGGGGAAGAUUGACGUGUGUGUGGAUGGAGUGCUCCUACAUGUCGUGUGUUUAGGUUUCCCUUGCAAGGUUUAAACUCGAUUCGAAUCGUCUGCUUAUCGCAGCUAAUGAGACUGCUUGAUACGUGUUGCUACAUUGAGUAAGUGAAAUGAGUUUUCAUGAGAUAAAGUGUUGCUUGCACUAAAUGUUUGUUACCAUGUAUGUUUAGAAGGAUAAAUCCUAGCUUAAGGAAUAUUAUUAAACUUGCAAAAGCUAAAAUUUGAUUUUAGACUCAUUUAGUGCUUUUGGCAAACCAAACCCCUCAACCAAACAGCUUCAUGGUCUAGAGGUAGAGGAGUAGACUCCUCACACCAGGUAAGUCUAGCUGAGUAUUAGUAUACCCAGCCUUGCUUGUGGCAUAAUUUUUACAGGUACCUUCGAGGAGGAUAUGGUUUCUGGGUUGACUUAGUCGUCCACCUUGCCACCCGGCUGGACAGUCGAGUGGAACCCCACCUCAACAGGUGAUGACCAGGAGGAGUGAUGGACCAGGCUUCGCCACACUUCUUAUUUAUCGUUAGUUCAAUUCCGCUGCAACAAGAACAAUGUUUACUAUUUUCAAACUCCGAUGAUGAUGUAAUAACUCUAAGUACUUAUUUAAAUUUAUGGAAUUAUGCUUUAUUGUAUUUCUCUAUGUGUCACCAUCGUGUGAGCAAGUACCACCCGAUCCUUCGGAAGUGACUUCAAUCGGACUAGAUCCGAGGAAUUGAUAGUCUAUUCCGUCUUAAGUGUGGGCCAUUGCCCUUGAGGUGAGACCAAGGCACUUAAGCUGGAAUAAUCUGGGCGGUUUCGCUACAGCUGGUAUCGGAGCGAGUACCACUUCAGAGAAGUCAAUAAGUCAUAGAUACCAACUUUUCAAAAGUAAAACUUGCUUAGAAACCAAGUUCGAUAUAUGUCAAGACGAUAAGGAUAGACCUAGGACGUGAAUCCUUAGGAAAUAGAUGGGUAUCUAGGUGACUAUUUAUAUAGGCCAUAAAGACUACUACUACUAUUAGGUAGGAUGUUGUAGCAAGCACCCAAAAUGUAGUUAGGUCUGAGAAGCUGACUAGAAGGAGCAUGCAUCCUAGUUAUCGCAUCAUUGUUUCUUGUGCAUCAACAAGCUUCUCUUACCUUUAUUCCAAUAACAAGAAAUCGUGAAUAAUGUGAUGUAUUGCCACAUUGUGAACUAUAAGAAAUGCCUUGUCUUGUGUUGUUAUGAUAGUUUUGAUUAGGUUGUGUUAUGUGUUCCUCUUGCCUUGCUAUCUAGGGGAUGUGUGUUCAACCCGUUUUGCCUCUAACUGGCAAAAAACUUGUUGUUUGUUCUACUCAUAAAAAGACCACCUCAAAAUAGCCUUGUGAUUAGCAGGUGAAACCCCUUAAAAAAUCACAUGCUUGUGUUAGUGUUUUCUAUCCCUUGUGUGUUUCACCCUUGAAUUUACACUUGCAUAGCUUGCGGCUUGUAAAUCUCUAUAGCUUGACUGCCAGAUCGACCCAAACUUCCUUGUACACAUGUUUAUGUCACAAAAAAUCGUUUGGUGUCUAGUUGCGCAAACCAUGUCCAAGCCAUGUUUCUCUCCGUAAAUCCUUGCCCCAAAACUUCAUAGCAUUUCUACUGAUCAUCCAAGCUGAUCUUGUUUGCCUACCUCUCCUUCGUCUGGAUCUAGUAAUCUUUUCCCUUUUGGAUCAUGUUCCGAUCUUAUCUGGUCAAUCUCUAGAACAAUUCAUUGAUUCUACCAUGUCGUCUUGUCAUCUACUCCAACUCACUCUCAAGUAUCAGAUGUGGAUCAGUCUAAUAUCUUAUUCUGACCAUUCUCAUACUCUUUCUACAAGAGCCAUGACGUCGCUUUAUCAGCUAUCUCUAUAAAAAACAUAUCCAUGUGGAUUAAUGGAUUUUGUUGUUGUCCUUGGUUCUCUCAUGUCUCUGUAAGUUUAUCGAAUUGAUCUCCUGACAGCCUCCUCUUCACAUCCCAUCUCUUAUAAAUCUAUGACUUGAUAAUCCCUACGGUGAUCAUGAAAUAGUUCGUGGAGUCGAAGAAAAUUCUCAUGUGAUGCUAUUUUUGCUAGCAUUCUCUACUUCAAUUCAUGUCAUAUUAUUAUUCCUCCGAGCCAUACUCUCAUGGGCUCCCUCUAUCUGUGCCACAUAGGUUUCUUAUUUGUUAUGUUUGGUAAUGGUGUUAUGACUAAACGACUAUUGGUGCCACGACAAAACUGAGAGCCUCCUAUGGGUGUACGCAUAAGGUUGAGCUGCUCGGCACGCGCUGGUAUCGUGGUUAAUAGUCGUGAUCCUUUAUGGAACUAUGCCGAUGUGCUAUCUUUUGUGGACAAUUCUCUCAAAGUGAUCGCUGCAUUUUGUCUCAAUAUGUCGCGAUGUUCGGUCCAAAUCUAUCUUUCGUAUCUUGCCAAAUAACAUCUCAUGAUUUGGCAUCUACCUUCAGCGUGGGAGUUACAUCAUGCUUCUCUACCCUUAAAGAUCCUAAUUCGAAUCUCACGACGAGAUUCUUUUAAGGGGGGAAGGCUGUGACACCCUAGGUGUCUAUUUUGUGAUAUGUCGUGAGUUUUGUCCUAAGCUUGGAUGCUCAGUGAAAAUUUUUAUUUCUCCAUCGUGUCUAUCUCUGUUUAAUAGGAUUAUUCAUGGAAGUUCACUGAAUUCGGAGUUAUUCGAUCUUGAGACAAAUGCCGAAAUUGGAGCGUGUUAAAACUUUUUAUUUCUCGGAACGAAUACAAACUCAAUAAUCAAUCUCGACUUAUAAAUCUCAUGUAAAGCUCAUUUAAUCAACUCUCGGCUAUUAUUAUUUGAUCUGUGCCCGAGUCCAAUUCCUCGAAAUUUGAUCUAUGUUCGACUAUUUUAUCUGGAUCCGUACUCUCAAACGGAAUUCUCUGUUACGUCAGUCCCUAAUCAAUUCUUAUCUGACUCAGCCUAAUAUAUCUAUGUCCGAAACAGACUCAAAACCCGUAUCGGCAGUGAUUUUAAAAUGUCACGAUUCACCUUCUCCGACUAAAAAUCCAAAGCUAAUCGAAAUCUUGAAAUGAAAAUUAGUUUCCAAAAUAGUGCACGAGAGAAUUUCAAAGUGACGCCAAAAUCAAAAUGCUCGAUCCAAAUUAAGCACUCGAUCGUCUGUCAUCUGGACGCCGGUUGUUUUUCGUUCGUCACACCGGUUCGAGUUUUCUCAUAGGUGAAUCAUCGCUCAAAACCAGGGAUAUUUUUUGGGUUUCUUAGCUUAGAAGCAAUCCUUGCUUCUCCCCUAAGUGAGCUCAAGGGAAACCCUAACCCUAGAGCUUCUCUAUAAAUAGAAGUGCAUUCCCUUGCAAAUUGAAAUUUUCCAUUCCCCCCUAGCUGCCACAGCCCUUCUUCCUCCUCCCGGUCACCCUCUUCUUCACUGCAUCUCCAUGCUUGCCCCCCAGCCGAGCUCGCCACUUGCCUCACUAGUGCCGGUUCCACCUUGGUCACGCCUGCCACUAUGAGCUCCCCACGUCGCCAUCUAUGGCAGCCACUUCCUCAACGCCUCCCUCUCGCCCCAGCACCAGAUUUCCUCCACUCGGCACCCCCUACAGGUGCAGCAGUUGAGCUCCUCCAUGGCUGCGUCCAAGGUCGGCUCCAGCCCCCCUCCUCUCUAUUCCUUGCGUAGAGGAACUUCUUCUCCAAGACCAGCGCUUUCCCCCUCCCUGCACCUCCCCUCCAUGCCGGUUCCCUGCUUCCCUCGAAUCCCAAUAGCGUGAGCAGGCGCCUUCCUCCAAGCGCCUCCAUGCUCCAAAAUCCGGUGAAGGCCUUGCCUCCAUACUAGCUCCCUUGGUCGGCGAGAUUCUCCAUCUCUGACGCUGGCCACCCCCUUCACCGCACGAUGUCUCCCCCACGCUCGACCUCGGCAUGGAUGCAGCAAGCCCCAUCGAUCUGCACAGCCCUGGCUGCCAUCAUUUCCCAGCACGUCGGCGCCGAGCUCUGCUAGUUGUCGAUCUGUGCAGCAAACAACAACCUCGGUGAGCUACUAGCUGUCCUGCGCUUCUCGUGUUCGAUAAAAGGACCGCACCAAUAAAUCGUGUAAUAAACUAUGUCAUUGCUCGCAGCCCUUGUCGUCGUCGCGCCUCGCGCAUUUCAUGCUCGACGAAAGCCCCAAGCCAUGGACAACAUGCAGGCAUGCGCGACCCGAGUCGGCCAGGUUGUUUCAUGUGUGCGAUUUGUAGUUUGUCUAAUUAUGUUUGGGUCGAUGUGGUGUAUAUUGGUGUUUGAAUAUGUAUGGAUAUAAAAUGUUUUGGUUUUAUGCAUUGGUAAGGUUGCCUUCGCGAUUUGGAGAACAAGGUGUUGUUUGAUGUGAAAAGUGAGUUUGAAUGCAAGUUAUUAUGUGAAGGGUAUAUUAGGCCUAUGCAUGCAUGUGUGAUCAACUGGAUUAUGCGCAUGAUGAGUUUAGUAAAAAUCCAUCGGUGUCACUAUUGUUUAAGUUGAUGUUUAUUUGUGCGUGGAAUGUAGUAAUGUAAUUAAUACUUAGAACGCUUAGACGAUGGUAGUAGUUGUCGGUGCUAUUAUGUCGAUUUUGUUGCAUGGCGAAUAAUUGUCUUUGCUGGUAUGGCAAAGCGAUGUUUCGCUUUAAUAGUCAUCGCCUUCUCUGAGUAGUGAGUGGAUAAAUGUCAUGAUUAUUGAUUGGAGGUUCUACAAGAGUGCUAUCGUUGUAUAAAAUUUAUCGGAAGCAAGUAGCAUUCAUAAGUCGGUCCUUGUUGAAAUUGAAGAACAAUCUGAUAAGAUAUGCACAUACGCGCUUUAGGUGCUUCAGUAGUAAAAUGUAGUCUUAUGGAGUUUUAUGCCAUGUGUUAACGCUCUUCAUGUUAGAUCUCCUAAAAUGUGGUGUUUUAGGUGACUUGUGUGUUAUCCAGUUUAAGUUGAGAAAUGGUUAAGAAAAGCUAAUUAAUCUGCUCCUACCCAUGUUUUGAGUUACAAUGUCUAAAAUGGUUUGUUAAGUUUUAUACUAUGAUAGCCAACUCUUGUUAAGUAGAAGGAGUCAAUUGUGUUAAGUGAUUGUUAUAUAUAUGUGUCUCCAGUGCUCCAAAUAGCUAGAAAUGUUAAUCAGUAAACAAAUAGUAUAAUGAAUGAUGCAUGGUUAGGUCUUCCUAAAUUGGUACACUUCUCACAAUUGGUAAAGUAAAAUUGUAAGAGUCUAAUGGUUAGUUAACUUCAAUCAACCUUAAGUUAGCAAAUGUAGUGAUAUGGUCAAAGCAAUGGAACUACUGAUUAAUAUAUACAAACAUAUAUGUAUAACACUUGAGUAUAUGAGGUUUUGUGCCUUGAUGUAAAUUACUAGUUGAUAACUAAGUCAUGAUAAAUUAGACUUGAGAAUUGGUGUUAGUAUCUCUUUAUGAUUUUGCUUGGUGAUUUAGUUGAAUGCUCUUGUGCUAGAAAACUUAAAUUCUUGCGUGUACAUUUUUGGUUGUGCGAUUAAUCUAGUAAAGUAAAGUAUGUUUUCUAUAGAUAUGUGCUAUAUAAAAGUUGUAGUUUACUUGUUUAUCUAGCUCGUCCUAAAAUUUCAUGACGUAAAAAUAAUGGUUUAGAAGUUAUGUUUUUCACAAGUUCAGUACCUGAAUCUGUCCAAUUUAUGUACAGAUUUCAGAGAUUGCAAUGUUUGUUUAAGGUCAGCUUAGAAUCAGAUCUUGUCGAUCAUAAGUAAGUUGUAUAUAGCUUCCUUAUCUUGUUGGUGUUAAAAUUUUGUAACCAUAGGCCUGAUAGUUUAAGAGUUAUGAAUUUUACAAAAUGAUUGUUGUGUUCUGUCUACUGUCUGGACAAAUUUUGAAAACUGUAUUGUUUGGGUUGAUUAAAAUAUGAACCACUUCUUGGUGAUUAUAAAACUUAUGUAGUGCUUUUAUUAAGGUUUCUAAAAAGUUUUGGAUCAUCCUUUUUGGUGGUCUAAAGGUCUGUUUGGUGUGGCGCCUAUGCCGCCACACCGCGCCUAAUCCGCGGCGGCCAAAUCGGCCGCCACAGCUGAGGCUUGAAAAGUGUGGUGCAGUUUGGUGUGUGAAGCAGCACACCAAACAUGCCUUAAAGCUCAAGUUAUAGAUGUUUUAAGUAUGAAGACUGAAUAUGUCCAGUUCUAGACAACAAGGCCUUCAUAGUGUAUUUUACCCUUGAUACAUAUUAAACCAACCUAAAAAUGUUUAUAAAUAAUUUGUAUACAAUUUCAUUAGCUUUCCAGAAAGUCUAGGAUCAAUUGAUUUGGAUGCAUGAGUCUUUAGUUAUUAAUUUUUUGAAGUCACAAGUCUGAAUCUGUCCAAAUCUGGAUAAAGCUGUCGUUUAUCACUAUUUAACCUUGUUAAGUGUCUAAUCACCUUGAGAUGACAAUAUCGAAGUUGUAGAGUGUUUCUUAAGCUUUCCAAAAAGUAUAUGUUCACUAUUAUUGGAUAAAUAUCUUGAGAGUUAUAACUAAAAUAAUCAACUGCUGUGCUGCAGUCCCAAACAUGUUGAAUGUGAUUGAUUGCUCUACUCUGUUGUACUGUUUUGAGUCGACUGCUUGCUUGUUUUGGUCUUGGCUGAACAAGUAAUAAUGAUUGCAACUAAUAUAAUUGAGCCUAAAUAUAUAAGUUACUAGUACACAUCCCACUAAAUUAGUGUACUAAUUUGGUUAAGGUAAUAUAAUAUGUAAUUUGUUCACAAAGUGAAUAAUGUACUCUCUCUUUAACUUUCUGCUAGUCCUAGAUACUGCUAAGUAAUUAACCUCAUUAAAGUAGUAUAAUAUGUAAUUAUGAUUAAACUAUCUCCUUGCGUGUGUUCUCUUGGAUGUGUGCUUGCAUGAAAAUCUUAUGAAUGAUUGUAGAACCCAAUUAAAUAAUCAUUCCUUUUAACUAAGUCUGCCUAUAUAAAAGCCAUAUCAAAUUUAUGUGUACUUAACUAGUUUAAUAACAAGUAGCCAAUGAACGAUUAAAGUGAACAUGGUAAAUACUUGUACUCGUGAUGUCGUGUUUGUGUUGGUUAAAUAUAGGAAAUAUUCGUCAUCUUUCCAGUCAUGUUGACUUGUUGUGCCCAAUGACAUAUAGAUAGCUAGCGUCACGUAUGUAUGUUUAUGUGUCUUACUAGUUAAUGUUAGUUCGCUACAGUGUACUUGGAAUAUCUUGUGCUAAUUUUAUCAUAUUCAUACAUAUGCAUCCUGCAUCUCAUUCAGGACCGAGAGAUGAUGAUCGUGCAAGUGAUGUGGUGCCAACCACAAGAUGCAGUUGGUGGACGACCCGAAGAAUGAUAGACUUAACCAGUGGAUGCUCGUCAAGCGAGUGUCGUCUAGCAAACAUUAUCUAGUGUGGAUUCCAGGAAAGCCCCGGUUUUAUGCAUAACUGUUUAUAUAUGCUAUUUUACUACACUUAAUGUAUGUAGGAUUGUACUGUGCACUUAAGUGUAGGAGUUGUUUGGAACCCAAGUUGCAUGAACUCAGGUUUCCUUUCGAGAUGGAUACUAGAAUGGUAGGUCGAGUAGCUGUUAUGCUAAUUCAGGAUCUCGGUAGAAGUCGAGUGAUUUUUUAGCACUCAUGCGAGGUCAGGAAUUGAUUGUAUCCACUUUGAUACUGGAACUAUGAUGGUCUGUGGACAAGUAUCCAUGGGGAUGCCUUGUCUACGAGAUGAAAUCGGAAUAUGGAUUAAUGUAUGGUACCAUGUGUCAAGCGUUUAAAACUACUAAGCACAUGCCGAGAAAUAUGGUAAAUCGGUAAGCCUAGUACCUGAGUGAACCUGCCAGUAGACAUACCACCCCACGUGUUCAUGAGACAGGGUCUCCCAUUCUAGUUAUGGUGGGUACAAGUGCGGUCACUGCACUGCGGCGGCCGGGAUCAGUGGAGCAUUUUAUGCCAAUGACAGUGGGCCCUGAUCUACUGCCGGGGAAUCGAUGGGGACGGUUGACGUGUGUGGGGACGGAGUGCUCCUACAUGUCAUGUGUUUAGGUUUCCCUUGUAAGGUUUAAACUCGAUUCGAAUCGUCUGCUUCUCACAGCUAAUGAGACUGCUUGAUACAUACUUCUACAUCGAGUAAGAAGUGAAAUGAGUUUUCAUGAGAUAAAGUGUUGCUUGCACUAAAUGUUUGUUACCAUGUAUGUUUAGAAGGAUGAAACCUAGCUUUAGGAAUAUUAUUAAACUUGCAAAAGCUAAAAUAUGAUUAUAGACUCAGCUAGUGCUUUUGGCAAACCAAACCCCUCAACCAAACAACUUCAUGGUCUAGAGUUAGAGGAGUAGACUCCUCACACCAGGUAAGUCUAGCUGAGUAUUCGUAUACUCAGCCUUGCUUGUGGCAUAAUUUUUACAGGUACCUUCGAGAAGGAUAUGUUUUCUAGGUUGACUUGGCCGUCCACCUUGCCACCGGGCUGGACAGUCGAGUGGAAACCCACCUCAGCAGGUGAUGACCAGGAGGAGCGAUGGACUAGGCUUCGCCUCACUUCUUAUUUAUCGUUAGUUAAAUUCUGCUACAACAAAAACAAUGUUUACUAUUUUCAAACUUCGAUGAUGAUGUAAUAACUCUAAGUACUUAUUUAAAUUUGUGGCAUUAUGCUUUAUUAUAUUUCUCUAUGUCUCACCUUCGUGUGAGCAAGUGGUACCCGAUCCUUGGUAAGUGGCUUCAAUUGAACUAGAUCCGAGGAAUUGAUAGUUUAUUUCGUCUUAAGUGUGGGUCAUUGCCAUUGAGGUGAGACCAAGGCACUUAAGCUGGAAUAAUCUAGUCGGUUCCGCCAUAGGACGGAGAUGGCAUCGAGGCGUAUCGCUGAGCAAAGGUGAAGACGUGUGGGUAAAACUAAGUACCAAAUAAAACUAAGGGUAGUAAUAAGGAGUGGGGUACAACUAAGGACACCAGUUGUCACACCCGGUUUUGAAGGCAAACUGAAUGUGAACCAUGUACGUGUCAGGAUCAAAAACUCACGUACACAUCGAUUACAUAGUUGGACAUCAUCACACAUUGCUCAAAAUAAAUAGCGGAAAUAGUACUUUAUUAAAUCAAGAUGUCUAAGACAUAAAAAUAUUCAUUAACUUAACAUAGUCAUAAAUGUAAUCAAAGUGCGGAAUACGAAACGUAGAAGACAAGGCAUUCAUAGGCAGCUGACUGGGCAUGACUAGAACUCAUCGUAGUCCUGAAACUCCUCAAAGUCCUCCAUGUUGCUUGCAUCUCCUCCUGAGCACUGAUUGCAGUGGGAACAACUUGGGGUUUGGGGUUUUAAAGCAAGGGUGAGUACACAUCAACGUACUCAGCAAAUGUCUCGUUUGGCUAAAGUGGACUAGCUGGAUGUGGAGUUAAGGUUAAAGCAGUUGCUUUUAGUUGGUCAGAUAUUUAUUACUAGUGGUAAGCCAAGUUUUAGUAAUAAAACUAGUUAUUACCCAAAAGUACUCCCUCCAAGGGGAAAUACUAGAAACCAUAGUUAUAAUCAUCACCGCUUAUCAUCACCGCUUACUAGUUUCUAACACUAUGUAGAGGUUGCACACUUUAUCCAUGAGUCGUGAUCCCUUUCCAGCCUAGGUUUGCAAGACCUGAUCUUCACUACCAAGGUGAAUGGCCAGGGAUACACUACGUAGUCUUUACAAAGAUUCCCCAGAGGUCAUAGCCGCCCGUUAGGUUUCUCCAGUUUGAUAAAUAUAGUACUUCUCCCCAUAGAAGGGUGACUAACAAAACCAAAUCGAAAGAAACUCGGCAACCAGCCUCGGCAGAGCAAGUACUGUGCCUAGACCCCAUUGACGGCACUACGGUGAAGCCGACUACACCUCAAGUUCCUCUAAUUAAUCAACUAAUGGCGUCCCAUUCCACCCUCAUGGUUGUAGUGUUAUCCCGGGUGGUCUCUCAAUGAACAGGUCCUUACGGAGAGGUACUCAGGAAACAACCUGAGUCCCCUAAAGUAUCAUAGUUCAUCAUCAUAAUCAAGAUAACAUCAUCGUAUCAUAAAUAUUCUCAUCAUGUUUGUUGAUUAAAGUAGAGCAAUAGCAUGAAGCUAACCAUAAAAACCCAAAAAGGUAAUCAAGGACAAGAUAGAUACAGACUAGUCAAUUCUUAGGUUUCAAUUAAGUAAUGCGGGACAGUGAAUUAUAAAGUAGGACAUAAUGGGUCAGAGGACACUUGCCUUCACCAGGUUGCUGCUCAGGGAAGUCUCUAGCAACACACUCAGGAACCAUGGAUUGCUCGUUGUCUACGCAAAGCAAUCAUACAUUCAACACAUUUGGGAAAUGAUAAAGGAAUAGUACACCAAACAUAUGUAAUCCAGUGAACACAAGUUCAAUAGAAAAGUAACAAACACAAAAGUGAAGUCUGGGUUCUAGGGUGGACUAAUACACCUAGAGGUUUGUGGUUCUCUAAGUACUGCCUAUCUUGGGGAUCACAUAACCUAACUUCAUUUAUCUUAAUGAAUUACUAAAAUUAUACCAGGGAUGGGUUCAUACCUCACAUGAUAUUAACCUCACAAAGUUAAUUACCUAAUUAUCAUUAGUGUUUUCCUUUUAUUUCCUUUUAAACAAUGAACCAUUACUUUAAAUGCACCUAUAGCCUAGACAUAAAACUAAGACAUGCAAACAGUGAAAGAUUAUAAUUUAAAUAGGUAGAGAAUAAUUUUAUGAACAUUUUGUAAUUUGAACCACCCAAUUUGGAGUUCAUAUGCAAAAGAUAUGACAUAAACAAGUUUUGGAAUUCAAAAUACAAAACUAGGCGUAUUUCUAUGAUAAAAUAAAAGGUCAGGGGCUUUUCUGCAAAAACUUAGGGACCUGCGCGCGAAAACCAGGGACAACAGGUUGAUUUCUAAAAAGCCGAGGGUCUCUAACAAAAUGACCAUGCGAAGGGGUACGGGGUAUUCUCAGUCGUUCGAUCGCAGAUCUACGGGCGAGGUCAAAUCGGAGCGCGAGCGUGGAUGCAUGGACGAGCGCUAAUAGGUGGGCCAGGGUUGCCAGCGACUAGGGAGGGAAGACGGGCUGACAGUCUAGCCCAGCGCUAGGGGGCGCAGGCAACUGACGAGUGGGGCCCAGGGGCAGGGCGCGCUCACGCGAAGCGGUAUCCGUAGAUCUGGACAGCUGGAUCAGAGAUGGGCGGUUAGGAUCUAGCGCGCAGGGGUGAACAGCGCGGUGAUUGGCGUUGCUCUAUCCGCAGCGGCGAAGUCGUCGGAGACGGGGCAGACGCAGGCUCUGAGGGAUCUGAGGUCACCGGGGCUGGCUGGAACUGGUGAGGAGGACUCGACGAACAUACUGGCGGGGCUCCGGCCAUGUGAAGGGGACCGGGGACGAGAGAACGGCGGAGUGAGUGCUCCGAGCGGGUCAGGGUGACUCCGGCGAGCAAUCCCGGCCACAGGGAAGGGAAAUCGGGCACACUAAGGCCAGGGCUAGCUCCAGCGAGGAAGGUGGAAUGCUAUGGACCAAAGCAGGGGCAUAGGGCGAGGCUAAAUCGAUAGGUCAUAGCGCGGGCGCAGCGAACCGGCACGAUCGAACUCCGGUGAGGCGGAAUUAGCUAAGGCAGGGCGGAAUUAAGAGAAAUCGAGCUCGGGAGUAGGUUCCUCACCUUGGGACGGUGCUUGGGACGGCCUGGCGCGGCUCCGGGCGGCUUGGAUGGCUGGCACGGCGGGCGCGGAUCUCCGGUGGGCUUUGGCGACGGCGGCAGAGCGCGAAAGAGAGCGAGCGUGAGUGAAAUGAGGCAGGGGAGAUAGAGCGGGUGCGGGCGGGGCUCAAAAAGGAGCUGGGGCGCGUGGGCAGGCGACGUGGCUGGGCUUCUCGGCGUGCGUGCGUGUGUGCUGGUCCACCACGGUUGCGGAGAAGACGAGACUGAUAGGGCGGGCCCACGGCGUAGAGGCACGGGCGCGCGGACGAAGGCAACUGGCGCUGAUGAGGCGGGCCCACAUCGCAGAGAGAGUGGGGGCACACGGACGAAGGCAACUAGCAUCGACAAACCGACCCCAUUGGGCAGAGGGAGAGAGGGAGCGAGGAAGUGCGAGCGCGGACUGGCACUGACAGGUGGGGUCCACCUAUCAGCGGACGCGGGCGCGCACGGCCUAACUGGGCUGGAUUGGGCUCCUUGGGCCGAAAUCAGUUUUUCUAUUUUCCUGAAUUUCUAAAUGCCUUUUCUUUCUAUUUUAUCUAUGAAAUUCAAAUCAAAUUCAACCAUAAUUCAAAUUCAAAUAAUUCAAACAUGCGCAUCAAACAAAAGAAUAAUUUAGACUCAGCAUGAUGCAACAUUUCAUGACUCACAUAGAUUUUGAUAUAGUAAAAAAAUAAUUAAUAUCCCUUCUAAUAGACAUAUUUCUAAUGAAAAGGAAGAGAGAAGAAAACUAGAGAGAGAAACAAGAGGUAACACCUGAAUUUGGUAGGUUUAGAGAAGAAAUUUUAUACCCCAAAUUCAGAGUGUUACACCAGUGUAAAAAUCCUAAUAAUUUAUUAGCUGGCUAACUAUUAACGCUAAAGGAACAUGGAAACCAGACGCUUAACAGCUUGUAACGUGUGAGGUCAUUGUGAUUUUUUACUCCCCUCUGUUUGGCUUUAACUGUCAAAAAUAAUCUAAUUAGGGCCUAUUUGGUUCGCUGACUAACUUGCUACAAUUUACCUAACUUUUCUGCCUAAGGUUGGUUUUUCAAUUCGAACGACUAACCUUAGACAAAGUGUGACACAGUUAGCCACGAACCAAACAUGCCCUUAGUAACACGGUCUGGUCUAUCAUGUGUAUCCGGUUGAGGCAAUUGGAAGAACAGGGGAGAUGGACGAGGCAGGCUAGCGUACGUGUGUCGGAAUGGACUCUCUGCUUGCUGGAGCGCACAACGUGUGCCUUGGCGCGUUGCGCGUUCAGGGUACGUGUCUUGGCGCGUUGCGCGAUCAGGGCACGUGUGUCUUGGCGCGUUGCACGUUUAGGACUAGUUUGGGAGCCACAAAACCGGAGAGUAUUAGAGAGACUAAAAUCUCCUUCAUAUUCGAAAUUAAAUAAAAAGAAAAUUCUAACCCCAAUCACCUCCGAAUUUGUGGCUCCCAAACUAACCCUUAUAGUUCAACACGCGUACCUCCGGAUUUGUAUCAAGGGUGUUAAGCAGCACAGACCCUAUUUUCGACAGAUUCUGAGAUGAAUUGAAUCAUUGGGUGGCUUUGGCUAGGUUGCCUGGAUAAUUUUUGGGUAUUAAAUAUGGAUUACAAAACUUAGAACUACAUGAUUUCCAAAUUUUCAUGCGCUGACCUUCAAUGAAAAAACCCAAAUAUGUUGUGUGGCAGACUCUGAAUUGCUAUUGCGCUAGAUUGAAAUAUGUAUAGCGAACGAAUUUGUGUUGAAGGAGAAGAAGGCAGUGGAUAAUACAGUUUCAGGCCAAGAUUUCCAAAUUUUCAUGCUUUGGGGUCAGCUUUAGAGGCACUUAACUAGUAUAUACUCAUGUGCGGGAAGACGCUCAUGAGCAGCUACACAAGGGAGGAAACAGAAGAAAAUUGAAAAAAAAAGAGGAGAAAUUUAAUACGAAUAUUACAGAGACUUUACCCUUUUAGCACCAGAAGUUAUUAUUUUCCCAAUAUUAAUAAACAGUUCCAGUAAAACUGUAGCACGACUGUUCUGAAUAGGCCCUUAAACUAACACAGGCUAACUGAACACAACUAGCAAAAGUGAUAGUUUCAAAACGAAUGAACAAGCUUGCUUGGUUAUUAACAUGAACCAAGGAUGGAUGAAACGCAUGCAAACACAAACUUGCCUGUGUGAACAAGAACAACAGACUUGGUUAAAUUCUAGAAGCUUGUCUGGAAACAUGUCGUUGACCAAGUCACCUUCACCAAUAUGGAUGCAAACUCAACCUUUAUCUGUUGACAGGUCCAUCCAUGGUUGGUCGUUUUGAAGCUACACCAAUGUUCCGGAUUGUCGCUGCUGUAAGAAUGCCCUGAGCCUACCUUCAACUUCACAUCCAUCCAAGUAUCUAUUACUGCAGCAACAACAUGUCUCCUUAAGGCACUCGGCUCAAUAAUGACGCCCUUAAAGAGCUGGAUUUCUUCACAUAACCCACUGGUAAAACAGCCCACACACAAACUGAAACUGCCUUCUACUUCAGAUAUGUGUACUUCUAUCGUCGCCUCAACUGCAAAGUCAAGACGUGAUACAGUUAUGUCAACCGCUCCACUAUCCCCGUAGAUGCGUCUUGUGAAUGCAUAAGCGCUAUUAGGCAUGCAUCUGUCGUCUAGUACCACUGAUGCACCAUCAAUCAGUUGUGGAUCGUCUUUCUCUUCUCCGCCCAUCUUGAUCCUCAUGUCAAAUUCAAUUAUAAUACUGCCACACAACUCAAUGCCUCGCUUAGGGCCAGUCAUUUCUAUAAGGGAACCCUACAAAAGUAUUAUAUACUAUAUUCAGGUAAAAUAUGUAAGAAAUGUUAAGUACUUCAUUUAUGAGGUUCACAUAUCAAACCAAGUGAUUGAUUGCAUUCUGAAGCGCACAUUUAACGCUAGCUUCCAGUAAUGUGGUUAAUUUCUUUAUUUCAGUUUGCAAAUUUAACAGUCUAUUCCUAGGUGAAAUAAAGAGGUCAGAAAAACUACAUUUUGUAGUGUAAGAGCAACCAAGUUUCAUUUUCUUUUUGGUGCAUAAUACACUCAAUUAGUUUCAUAUAUAAUCUAGGCCAAGCAAUAUUACAAAUCACAACGACAGAACCCUCGGUAUGGCAGUGGCUUACGCAAUCUAAAAAACUACUUUACAAUUUUUGGAGACUUUAAAUAAAAAAUCACAAAGAGCCAUCUUUUUGCAGUUUUAACAUCAAAUAUUACUAAAUAAGAAAAUAAUCAUAAGAUAAAGACAUAUAUGGCAGACAAACAACUUAGAAGCUCAUAGGUAGGUACUCUCCACAUCCUAAAUUAUAAGUCAUUUUAACUUUUUUGGAGAGUCAAAUCAUCUUAUGUUUGACCAAAUUUGUAUAAUAAAAUAAUUAUAUUUAUGAUACCAAUUAGUAUCAUUCAAUUCUUCAUCAAUUAUAUUUUCAUGAUAGUAUAAAUAUUUGUUUUAACAAAUUUUUGUAAUUCCGAUCAAACUUUAGAUGCUUUGACUUCCCAAGAAAGUUGAAAUGUUUUAUAAUUUGGGAUAGAGGGAGUACUUGUUCGUUGAAUAAUAAAGACAUAGUUCAUACAACAAUAAUAUUCAACCAUUCCGAGGCUCCCAUCGUGAUGUUGUAAGAGAUUAUUAAGUGGUUGGAUGUCACACCCGGUUUUAGAAGGCAAACCGAAUGCGAACCAUGUACGUGCCAGGAUCAGCAAUUCACGUACACAGCAGUUACAUAACAUGGACAUCAUCACACAGUGCUCAAAUAGUAUUAAAAAGGGAAAUAGUCGAUUACAUCAUAUGUCUGAGACAUCCACAUAGUCUUUACAAUAAAUCAAAGUGCGGAAAAGAAACGUAGAUAAACGCGGCCUUCACAGGCAGCCGACUGGGGGUUGCCGCUAACCCAUGCCUAGAACUCGUCGUAGUCUUGGAACUCCUGGAAGUCUCCUUCCACAGCUUCAUCUUCUCCUAAGCAGUGGUUGCAAUGCUGACAACCUGGGGAUGAGGGGGUUUGGUGUGUAGAGCAAGAGUGAGUACACAUCAACAUACUCAGCAAGCAUCUUGUUUGGCUGUAGUGGACUAGCUUUAUGUGGGGAUAAGUCAAGCAAUUGCUUUUAGUUGGUCAGAUUAUUAUUCACUAAUAGAAAGCCAGGUUUUAGCAUUAACCCAAGUUAUUAGCCCGAUGUACUCUUUCCUAACGGAAAGAAUACCACUUACCAGCACCACAAUCAUAACCAGAACCAUCAAUCUCAUUGCCACCUGUAAACCAAAGUGUCUCUGAUCAAGUACCACUAAUCACUAGAGCUCCCUUGGCCGCUCAUAACCGCGAGCACGACUGAUAUAUCAGUUUUCAAACACUCUGCAGAGGUUGUGCACUUUACCCACAAGCCGUGAUUCCCUUUCUGCCCGGAGAGAGCUACUCCCCAUUGACCACUACCAAGGUGGCCUAGUAGUGCAUCACUACGUAGCCUUUACAAAGAUUCCCCGGGGCUGUAGCCACCCGUUAGGUUUCCUAAAUGCACAGCACUCCUCCCUAAGGGGGCGAACCCAAGCUUGGCAGAGCGAGCCGCAUACACCGAGCCCCAUUGACGGCACGACGGCUAAGCGAACUACACCCCGGAUCCUCUAAUUAUUCAGCUAAGGGCACCCCAUUCCACCCUCAUGGUUGCACUGUUUUCCCGGGCGGUCAUCCAAAGAACAGGUCCUUACGGAGAGGCACUCGAGAAACCGCUCGAGCCCCCUUAAAGGCCACAAGUAUAACAUCAUAAUAAGAAGAGGGAAAACAGCGUAUCAUAGAUAAUCUCAUCAUGUUCAUUGAUUAUAGUUGAGCAAUAGCAUAAAGCUAAACAAUAAUAAUCCAACCCAAAUAGGUAAACAAGGACAUAGAUAACAAAAGCUAGUCAAUCCUUAGGCAUACAUGUGUAAUGCGGGAGGUGAAUUAAAGAAUGAAUAGGACAGAGAUAGGUCAAGGGACACUUGCCUCCACCAACCGACUGCUGCUCAGGGGCUUCUCCUGCGAGUUCCUCGGGCUCCUCGAUCGAAUCAUUCUCUAUGCGUUUGCAAGCAUACAUACAUCCAUCCAUUCAAACUAGGAAACAAACAGUACACCAUACAAGAGAACAAAUAAAGUAACUAUGCAUAGAAUAUCACAUACGAUAAUGAAUUUACCAUGGUUAGAAAGAGGCGGGGAAAGGUCUCGCGAGGGUUGAAGCUUAUGCUCGAGGCGCGUUAUGGGUAGGCGAAUAACUAGACGUUACGUGCUCUAGUUCCCAUUGGUUCUAACAAAAGGAUUAGCUACAUGCACUAAUGUAAACGUGACCACUUUUAGUAAAUUAACAUUGAAUGAGAUAAACGAUUAGCUAUACAAAUUAACUAACGUAACCAAUUUCCAAAUUGAGACUCCUAUCUUAUUAAUAUAAACAAUGUGAUUAGCGCGCAUAGGAUAGGGGGGUAGAUAGGGCGUCUGGGGGGUAGACGGUCGUGUCGCGGACGCGACAGGGCGCUAUGCGUCGCGUCGCAGGCACGAUGGGCUACGCCAAGGCGCUGCGUGGGCACGCGCACGCGCAAAGCCACGCUUAACGUGCCGCGAACGAGUCGCGCACGCGUCGGGGCCGCGCGCUGGCCGAGCUCGAGGCCGCGCUGGGGCCAUCACGACACGAGCAAGGCACGCCGGCGGCACGCCGGGGCGGGCGGGCGAACACGGGCGACGGCGAGGACGGCCGGGCCGGGCGCAGGGCUCACCGGGGACGAGCGCGGCGGGGGCGGCCGAGCCGGGCGUGGGCGGGUCGCCGGGGGGGCGGCCGAGCCAGGGCACGGCGGGGCCGGCGAGGGGAGAGGGCGGGCUCGCCGGGGCGCCGGGCGGACGGGGCGGGGUGGGGAAGGGGCAGCGCGGGGGGGGACGGGGACGGCCGAGGUCGGCGCGGCGGGGCGGGGCGGGGCAGGGCGGGCUCGCCGGACAUGGGGCGGGGCUCGCCGGAGGCGGCCGAGCCGGGCGGCUCGCCGAGCGGCCGGGCGGGCGAUGAAGGAGGAGGGAGAAGGGGGAAAGGAGAGGGGAGGAGGGGGGCCUCACCACGGCGGGGGAGGGCGGCGCGGCGGCGGUCAGGGGAGGAAGCGGCGGCGACGGCGCUAGGGCAGGGGAGGGCGGCAGCGGCGCUAGGGUUAGGGAGAGGGAGAGAGGGAGAAUGACGGGCGAGGCCCGCGAGGAGGGAAAUUUUGGGGGGAAGGGGGGAGGGGGCGGCUGGGCCGGCCAUGGGCCCAAAGCGGGGGGCGCGGUUGGGCCGGCCGGGACGACCCACGGCGGGGGAGGGAAGGGGGGAAGGGGGGGCGGCUGGGCCGCCCAGCUGGGUCGGCACGAGGGGGAGGGGCGGCUGGGCCAAAAUGGGGAAAGGGGGGGAGAAAAAGAAAAGGUUUUUCCUUUUUCUCUAAAUCUAGAUGAAUGAUUUCACAAUUUCAAUCAAUCAAAACAAGUGCAUGGUCCGGCAUGGUGCAGCAAACAAAAGAAAGUAUUUCUAGGGUUUUACUUUACACGAGAUUUAAAGCCAAAACCCGCUAUAGCUUUGAAAAAGAUCAAGGUUUAGCGAGGGGAAAAGGGAAAAGGAAAGGGUAACGCCCGAAUUUGGCGAGUGAAAAGAAGAAAAAAAUCUACCCCCAAAUUCAGGGCGUUACAUUGGAGCAUGCCAUCAAAAUUAUGUAUGAUCCAAUCCCAUCUGUUCUAUACAUGCAUGCAUGUGAUAAGUUUGGCCUAGUACUACAAAAUCACUAAUACUGAAUUUAAAAUAACUAUUCAGAAGCAUGGGGUGUGCACCUGCUCGAUGAUGAGAGGAUCAUUCCUGCUAACAUUGACGACAUAGUUAAGCAAUGGCUCGAGAACAUCCCGCGUAGCCAUAUAUCCAUACAACUCUAUGGGGCCACCAUCCACAUCAAUCUUAGCCAACUUUAAGGAGAAAAUUUGCAACAUGUUUUCAAAAUGCUUCCCAAAUUUUUUUUGCCCUUGCAGUGCAUGCAAUCUUUGGGAUCUGAUAACGUCAUUGCCUCAAUCCGAGCUUCAUAAAACAUCACAUGAUUUAUUAUAGUGGGAUAUUAAUACGGGGACAAAAUACUAGCUAGGCAUAUGAUAAUUAAGUAGACAUGAUCCUUAGGAUCCAUUUUCACAAUCCACCAAUCAUUUUUCUAGUUUUCUUCAAUCCCCAACAAACUAACUUAUUAGAAACUUAUGUAACACCUACGAUACAAAAAUGACAAACAGUGAUGAAAACAAAUGGAGGAAGACUAUAUAUACCCCCAUGGCAUGACAAAUGGAGUGUGUUGGAUUGUGAUGAGAUUAUAGGAGUGUUGUGACACUUCACUAAGUGCUCUAUGUGCUUAAGAGAGAAUUAGGUGGCUAGUGUAUUGCUUUUACUAGCUAGACCCGCUUAAUUGUGCUUGGUCUAGGUUUAGAGCCUAGUGUUAGGUAAGUUUUGCAUACAUCCUACCGCUCAUUGCUUGUGUUCACCAUUGUUAUCAUAAAAGGGGUAUGUGAUCUUGUGAGGCCAUACAAACUAUAUUUAUGGUGUGCCUAUCACUGUGUACCGAAGUUAAAUAUUACUAUCUUUGAACAAACUAUUUCAAAAGAUCUUUAUAGUUUCAGAACAUAUGAAUUGCAUACUAUGAAUGUAUUUUUUAUAGUGAAUAGACGCACGCACACACACAUGUGUGUCAGUGUGUGUGAGAGAGACUUAGGACCAUACUAUUGCGACAUUUAAUAAGAAAUAAAUGGAGUACAUAUAAUGAAGUAUGUUUUCCUAUAUAUAAGGUUUAUUAGGGGCUCAAAACAAAUAUUGAGGGGUUGUGCCUAAGAUGAAGAGAGCGGACAAUUUAUGGCACAAGCUACAAUCCUCUUAUGGUGUCCAUGCAUGGCAGCUGGCUAUGUAUACAUGCGUGGCAAUGCAUAUCCCAUGAUUCAACUAGUUUUGUAUGGGGAUCCAAAAGGAAGUUGGUGUACUGAUGCAAUUAAAAACAUUAAGUUUUGUAUGGAGAAUUUAUCCGUUGACCUUGGUCCUACUUGAUAGCCUAAAUUUUUUUGUGAUAAGAAAAAAGGAGGUGAAAUUAGAGCUAUAUUGCUAAUAAUCACUUACUUUCAUUGCGGUUCUCAAUGCGAUGCAUUUUUCUCCAUGAAAAGGCAUUCCUGUAUAUAGAACCAUCACGGUGCGUGCUAUAUGGAAAUAUAGCCAAAUGCCGUACAUCUUCGUCAGGGUAGUUAUAUUGGUAAUCCGCGUGCUGAUCAUCAUCAUCUUCUUCUUCUUUUUCCCGGCGUUCUUCUUCUUCUUCCAGGCGCCUGAGUUCUUCGUCGUCGGUGCGCUCACCGGGAGGGCCAUCGCCACAUCGAAGAAAAAUAUCAUGGCCUGUCUUCUUCCUGGUAUGUUUGUCGCCAUGCACAGCGGCCGUCCUCCCAUCUUGUUCAUCAUUGCAUGCUUUAGCCAACGACGACGUUUCGUCGUCGUCGCCUUUGAUUCCACUGGUGGUGGUGGUGGCCAUGCUGCUGCGAGAUCCAAUUCGAAAUCUUGUGUGCCACCAAAAGGCCGCCAGUCAUCGGAUGAACGGCGGCUUAAAAUAAGAUGAGAUGGUUUGAAACUGUAGUACCUGACAACACGACGGGUGGGUGGAUCGGGAGGCACCGUGAGCGGACAUGGAGAUGCUCGUCGAGCCAGCGCUGGUGGCAACGAACGCCACAAAACAGCGGGGAGAUGUGCCGAGGCGGCGUAUUGGGCAGUGGAGGGAGUCGCAGCGACGCUGCUACGGAGACGGAGGAGAGAGAGCAUCGUUGAUCGCGAGAAGAUUUGCAUCUGCAUGCAUGCUCCCGGUCGUCGCGAGUUCCGACUGAGCGGAAUGCGAGGCGGCGCUGGGUGGGAUUAGGGAAAAAGCAUAUCCUCCGCCGUCCAAAUUCCAAUCGCGCAUUCAGUUCGCUGUCCACAAGCCACAAACAACGAUGCGGCCGGAGGCCCAUUCUACAUGGGCUGUUUGUUUGAGUAACUUCAUCAAAAAUGAGUUGAUACAUCAUGUGCCUCGACUGUUAGUGAAAAUCGAUUUUCACUAGUGGUUUUUAUCUCAACCACCAGUGAAAAUCGAUUUACACUCAGUUACCGCUUGUAAAAAAUAAUUAUUUCUGUUGGCUUCUAUUAUUGAUAGUUCUGAAAAAAUAACAGUACAAAUAAGUUCAGAACUGCCUAUAUAGAGCUUCUACUGGUGAUAUUUGGUUUUGGUCGUGUUCAAGUUCAAAAACUCAGGCCAAACGUUUCUGAGCUAUUGCCUUCAUGACGAACUCCAACUUCUACCUUUGGGCCAUAACAAGUUGUUUAUCAACAACAUGUGAAAGUGAGGUAACAACAUUGCAAUGUCAAUCAAAUUUUUGAGACUUAGAAUUAUUUCAUAGAAGCUUAUUUUUAUUACUUCAUUCAAAUUUGAGGUCUCUAUUUAAGCUACUUAGGAGCUAAGUCAAGGUGUGGUCCAAAAACAAAGUUUAUUUUAUCAACUUGUUCUACAACUUUUAUUUUUGGUCAAACUCUAAAAUUGGAAAAACCUUAAAGAUAUAGAUUGGUCAAAGCAACAUGUGGAAAAGGGUUAAAACUAGAGUUUUAGCCGUUUUAACCACUUUCUCCACAUUUUUCAAACAAUAACUCUGACUAACUUUUGUUCAAGAGUUAAUUUAGAGUUGUUUGAGAAUGAAUGCAAGGUUUCAUUGACACCACAUGUUUCAACUUUAUUAACAAAAGCAUUUCAAACAAGGUUAUAACAUGUCAUUUCAUGUGAUUAAGUGAUUCUAAACUUUAUGAAACUUCUCAUAUGAGCGAGAUAGAUGCAUGUUGACGUGAUGCACAUAAAAGAGAACUGAUUAACAUUACUCAUGCAUAUUUUGGAAAAAGGUUACAUUUAAACUAAAAGUUUAAGUUGUAUUUAAAAGUUUAAGUUGCGUUGCAUUUUUGGAAAGGUUCACACCACCUCAUUCACAUAACUUUCCCAUGUUUCACACUAGAGCUCAUGAUCACCACUUGACAUACCUUGUUCAAGUUCAAAUCCAUUGCUUAGCCUAUGACUAACACAUAGGGUGAUCACCACUUGACAUACCUUAUUCACCAAUAUAGAGUGCAACAUGGGCCUAAAAGGACAUGACAAGUCAUUCAUAGCCAAAGAAUGUUGAGCUUGGGUUUUGACUUGGAGAUUAUUAGUGAAAUAAAGUCCGAGUUCCAAAUAUGAUGAGAUGAUUCAAGGGCUUAUGGGAGGGUUGAGGAGGGUUUAGUGAGAGUCUUGGAGAUCGAGGGGCGUGUUCGAAAAGUCAUAGUUUGAACAACCAUUGAGUUGUUACAACUUGCAUAUCUCAUAAUCAAGAGGCCUAAGAGAGAAGCAUAAGUCAGGUAUAAUGCCUUCACUCCCUUAUAGACAAGGGACCAUAGGGUGCUGGAGUCAGCACACAAACACCCAAACCAUGUUAGUGGUGCUACGGCCAUCACCAUCCCAAUGACACCUGACAAAACUCACCAUGGGAAACAUAUAUAUUUCACUCAACAAAGUGUUAUUAGAACGUUGUAACGCCCUGAAUUGGGGGUAUAAACUUUUGUCUCCAAUAUUCACCAAAUUCAGGCGUUCCUCUCUUUUUCUCUUCAUGUUUCGCUCCUUCCUCCUAUUUUCAAAGCAAUAUAGAGAAUGGUGUCCGUAUCGCAUGUCACCAGAACCUAUGUUGGUAUUGUUGUUGCAUCAUGCCAGAGCAUAUUUAUUUUGUCUGAUGUUGUGCCUAGGCGUGCGUUUGUCUAGUUUUUGUUUUUGAUUCGCGGAUGGAUCUUGAUUAGAAGCAGGCGGGGUCGAGUAGAGGGAAGUCGGUCUGGCCCACGGCCCAGCCUGGCCCGCGGCGCGGCCUGGCCUAGCCCUGAGAGCGCGCCCAGGCGCCCCUGUCCCCUCCUAUAACAGCCUGAAUUUGGGGGUAUCAAAUUUCUUCUCUAAAUGCCUACCAAAUUCAGCUGUUACCUCUUGUCUCUUUCUCUAGACUUCCUCUCUCUUCCUUUUGAUUAGAGUUAAGUCAAUUAGGUGAGGGAUUAAUUAUUUAUUUUAUCAAAACCAAUAUGAGUCAUGAAAUGUUGCAUCAUGAUGAACCUAAAUUAUUCUUUUGUUUGAUGCACAUGUGUAAAAUAGGUUUAAAUUUGAAUUUGGUUUGAUUUUGAUUUGAAAUCCAUAGAGAAAAUAAAAAGAAAAGCCAUUGGAAAUUCCAGGAAAAAGAAAAGCGCAAAGGAGCCCAGCCGCCCCCUAUUUCGGUCUUUCGGACCAUUUAGCCCGCAAUCGCGCCCCGCCUCUCCCCUUCCCCGCACUCGCUGCCAUGUGGGCCCGCCCUAUUGGCACCGUCGCGCGCCCGUGCGCGCCUCCUCGCUCUCCUGCCGUGGAGGGCCCGCCUGCCAGGCGCCUCGCUCGCGCGCGCGUCCGCUGACCAGCUGGUUCCACCUGUCAGCUCCCCCUUCCUCGCCACAACCACCCUCUACGCCCGCCGUGCCCACGUCUACAUGGAUUGUGGCCACGACCAUGAGCCGGGGCAUAACCCCCCUGACGGUCAACCCCUCCCCCUGCUCGCCUCAUUUCGCCAUAGCACCCAGCCAACCCCUCUCCCCUGCGCUCGCCAUGCCUCGCCGAAGUUUACCGAGGAGCACCGUCGUCCGCGCGUUCAUCGAGCCGCGGGGCCACCAAAGCCACCAUCUGUGUGCUUGCCGUGUCCGGAACGCCGUCGCCCUUCUGUUGAGUUGCUCGGCCGAGCUACAUAGUGGGUGAGAACCGCCAAUCCUCCCAUCCCUUCUCUGCCAUCAUCGGUGUGUGCCUAGGGGCCCUGUCGCGCAGAAGACGCGAGCUCCCCGAGCAACCCCCACCGGCUGACCCGCCCUCGGCCCUCGCCAUUCGCCGAUUCCGGCCAUGGCACUCCGCGCCGUGCGCGGGCGGGAGGAAGACGAAGGUCCCGACACCCGGGGCCCUCGGGUCAGCCUCUCCCGCGCCGCCACUCUCUUUUCCCCUCUGAGGCUCUGACGAGCAGACACCACCCUACAGGAUGUGCCCGCGCCCCACCCUUCGCCGCUAUCCGGUGGAGCCCCAUGGCCCCAUGUGUGAGCACCGCGCGCCCCGCAACGAACCUGUCACUAACCAGCGGGCCCCGUUCCGCUGGGGCCCUCCUGUCAGUCCGACCUGCACCCAAACCACCCACCAGAUCCACUGACUCAUGGACCUGAUGUGUCGAUGUCUCGCCUCACCUUGGGUCCACCUGUCAGGCGCCCGCGUCCCACACACUCGUGCCCUCGCUCGCUGUUUCUAAUCUGGUCCUUCGAUCGGAGAUCGGACGGCUAGCACAACCUCGUACCCCUUCGCGCGGUAGAUUUGCUAAAGAAACCCUCGGUUUUGUAAGAAUCAACUCGUCGUCCCUCAGUUUCGCGCGCAUGCCCUUGUAAUUUUUCAGAAAGAACCCUAACAUUUUAGUUAAUUGUAGAAUUAGACCUAGUUUUGUAUUUUGAAUUCCAAAACUUGUUUAUUUCAUAUCUUUUGCAUAUGAACUCCAAAUUGAGCGAUUCAAAUUGAAAAAUGUUCAUAAAAUUAUUCUCUAUCUGUUUAAAUUAUAAUUAUUCACUAUAUGCACUUAUUAGUUUUAUACAUAAGACUAUAGACUAGUAUUAGAGAUGGUUUGUUUAUUAAAAAGAAAACCCUAAUGGUACUUAGAUGAUUAAAGUUGUGAGUUUAAUAUCAUAUGAACCCAUCCCUAGUAUAAUUUUGGUGAUCCAUUAAGAUAAAUGAAUUUAAUUCAUGUGAUCCCCGAGAUAGGCGGUACUUAGAGAGUCACGAACCUCUAGGUGUAUUAGUCCACCCUAGAACCUAAGCCUAUCUCUUGUGUUUAUACUGUUCUUUCGAGCUUGUGUUCACUUGUUUGAACAUGUUUGGUGUAUAGUUCAUUUGUCUUUAUCCAAAUGUAUUGAAUGCAUGAUCGUUUUGUUUAGACAACGAGCAGCCCGUGGUUCCUGAGUGUGUUGCUAAAGAUCUUCCUCAGCAACAACCUGGUGAAGGCAAGUGUCCUCUGACCCAUUAUGUCCAACUUAAUUUAUAAUUCACCGUCCCGCAUUACUUUAUUGAAAUCUAAGGAUUGAGUAAUCUGUAUUUACCUUGUCCUUGUUACCUUUUGGGUUAUUUUGGUUGGCUCUAUGCUAUUGCUUUACUUUAAUCAACGAACAUGAUGUGAAUAUUUAUGAUACGAUGAUAUUAUCCCGAUGAUGAUCUUGUCAUACUUUACGGGACUCAGGCGAUUUCCUGAGUACCUCUCUGUAAGGACCUGUUCGUUGAGUGACCACUCGGGAUAACAGUACCACCAAGAGGGUGGAAUGGGACACCCUUAGCUGAUUAAUUAGAGGAACUUGAGGUAUAGUCGGCUUUGUCGUAGGGCCGUCAAUGGGGUCCAGGCAUAAUACUUGCUCUGCCAAGGCUGGUUGCCGAGGUUCUUUCGAUUUGGUUUUGUUAGUCACCCUUCCUGUGGGGACAAGUAUUGUGUUUAUCAAACUAGAGAAACCUAACGGGCGACUAUGACCUCUGGGGAAUCUUUGUAAAGGCUAUGUAGUGACACCCUUCUAGGUCACCUUGGUAGUGAUCAAUGGGGAGUCAUGGUCCCCGGGUAGAACGGGAAUCACGACUCAUGGGUAAAGUGUGCAACCUCUGCAGAGUGUUAGAAACUGGUAUAUCAGUCGUGCUCACGGUAAGAGCAGCCUUGGGAUCAUCUUUGAUUAGAAGAACUUUGGAUACUUUAUGUUGAUGAUUACAACUUUGAUCUCUGGUAUUUCCUCUUGGAGGGAGUACAUCUGGGUAAUAACCGGGUUUAUUACUAAAACUUGGCUCUACUAUUAGUAAUAAAUAUUUUACCAACUAAAAGCAACUAAUUUAACCUUAACUCCACAUACAGCUAGUCCACUUUAGCCAAACAGGACAUUUGCUGAGUACGUUGAUAUGAACUCACCCUUGCUUUAAAAACCACCCCACCCCAGGUUGUCCCCACUGUAAUCAGUGCUCAGGAGGAGAUGCAAGCAAACAUGGAGGACUUUGAGGAGUUCCAGGACUACGAUGAGUUCUAGUGGUGUUAGUGGCAAACCCCCAGUCAGCUACCUGUGAAGGCCUUAUCUGCUACGUUUUGUUUUCCGCACUUUGAUCCCGUUAAAUGACUAUGUUAUGUUUAUGACUUUAUGGAUGUCUUGGACAUCUUGAUGUAGUAAAGUACCUUUUCCACUAUUAUUUUGAGCAAUGUGUGAUGAUGUCCAAUUAUGUAAUCAUUGUGUACGUGAGUUUCUGAUCUUAGCACGUACAUGGUUUGCAUUCAGUUUGCCUUCUAAAACCGGGUGUGAAACCUCCCCCAUGCACGCCCCUCACCCUCAUUCUCUCUUUCCCAUGCAAAGUAACUUUCCCCUCCCUCUCUUCCACCCCUCUCCACCUCUCUCCCUACCCUAGGGUGGAUCCUGGUGAGCGGUUGCUAUCGUCCGUCGAGCCCCGUGGUGAGCUUCCCCUCUCCUCCCUCCCUCUCUCCCUCCUCCCUUCUUCCCCGGUGUGCGAAACUCCUUCCUCGGUACGGCCUCCCUGGCCUCCGGCGCGGCCCUACCCGGCACGGUGGCCCCCAGUGUGGCCCUCGUGUGCAGCCUCCCGGCAUUGCGAUGCCCCGACAGCACGACCCAUGUGCGCUCGGUCCCUGUGCACGCAGCCCUAGCGCGUGUCAUAAUGUUUUAAAUUCUGUUUAACUCACGUGUGGCGUCGCGCGCUUCAUCAUGCGACAAUCCGUUUUAAUUCCGUUUAAUUCACGUGUUGUGUCGCGCGCUUUGCUGCACGUUAGUCCUUUUUAAUUCCAUUCGAGUAGUGCAUUGUGUCGCGCUCUUUGCUAUGCUCUUCGUCGCACGACUAUCCUUUUAAAUUUACCUAGGAUCGAGUAUAAUAAUUUAAGGGAGUAGUGUAACGACAUUUAAUCAAAUACCGAACUAAUUAGGAUCUAGUGCUAAUUUUAUUUACACAUUGAGCAAUGGUUAAUUAAUAUGAUUAUAUUUAUACAACUGUUUUAGUCCAUAACUGCCUAACAUAAUUGCUAUGUCUUUUGGUUGUAGCCUCGACCGUUGUAGUUUCUUUUCUCACAUAGUCGUAAAUGCGAGUCCUGCGCCACGCGUCUGUUUAGUUGUAAUACUUUAUUGUGUGGUGUAUUGUUUAUUUCUAUGUUAAGAUUGUGGAAUGUAUGUUUGAACUCGUAUAGAUAACGGUCCAUUGGCGGAAUCCGAAGGAGUUGUAGGCGAAGACCCUAAGCAGCAGCUGGUUGGUGAAGGCAAGUGCCCUCUGACCUAUUUAUGUCCUACACAUUUUAUAAUACAUCUCCCGCAUUUACAAAAUUUAUACCUAAGGAUUUACUAGUUCUUGUUUAUCCUGUCCUUGUUCACCUAUUUGGGUUGGAUCAUUUUUUGGAUUAGCUCUAUGUUAGCGCUUUACUUUAAUCAAUGAACAUGAUGAGACUUAUUUAUGAUACGAGGUUUACUUUUGAUUACGGUGAUGGCAUUGUGACAUUUAAGGGGGCUCAAGCAGUUUCUCGAGUGCCUCUCCAUAAGGACUGGUUCGUUGGAUGACCACCCGAGAAAACAGUACAUCCAUGAGGGUGGUAUGGGACACCCUUAGCAAAUUAAUUAGAGGAACUGAGGUGUAGUUUGCUUUGCCGUCGUGCCAUCAUUGGGGCUCGGUAUAUGUGGCUCGCUCUGCUGAGGGUGGUUUGCCCCUUGCAGAGGAGUGCGGUACAUUUAGGAAACCUAACGGGCGGCUACAACCUCAAGGAAUCUUUGUAAAGGCUACAUAGUGAAACCUUGCCUACUCACCUUGGUAGUGUUUAAGGGUUUGAUCAGCCCGAGGCAAAAAGGAAUCACGGCUCGUGGGUUAAGUGUGCAACCUCUGCAGAGUGUUAUGAAACUGAUAUAUCAGUCGUGCUCAUGGUUAUGAGUAGCCUUGGGAGCUCCAUGGAUUAGAGAUACUAUGAUUACAUAUGAUGAUUUGGAUAAUUAUGGUUUUAAUGAUUAUGAUUAUGAUUAUGGUUUCUGGUGUUCUUUCCGUUUGGAAGGAGUACUUUUGGGUUAAUAACUUGGGUUUAAUGCUAAAACCUGGCUCUCUACUAGUAAUAAUUAUCUGACCAACUAAAAGCAACUACUUGAUUUUAAUCCCACAUAAAGCUAGUCCACCACAUCCAAACUGGACAAUUGCUGAGUAUGUUGAUGUGUACUCACCCUUGCUUUACAACACCAACCCCCCCCCCCCCAUGUUGUCCACAUUGCAACCACUGCUCAGGAGAAGAUGAAGUUGUGGUGGAGGAUUUCUAGGAGUUCCAAGACUAUGAUGAGUUCUAGGCGUGGGUUAGCAGCAAACCCCAGUUGGCUGCCUGUGAAGGCCGUGUUUAGCUAUGUUCCAUUUUUGCACUUUGAUAUAUGUUAGUGACUAUGUGGAUGUCUCGGGCAUCAUGAUGUAACCAAAUUAAUACUCUUUUAUGUUAUUAUUUGAGCACUGUAUGAUGAUGUCCAACUAUGUAACUGUUGUGUACGUGAAUCGCUGAUCCUAGCACGUAUAUGGUUUGUAUUCGGUUUCCCUUCUAAAACCUAGUGUGACAUAAGUGGUAUCAAAGCCCUGUUGAUUGUAGGAUUGCUAACCUAGAGUAGAAUGGUCGUUCUAAGGAUUAUAGACCCCUAUUCUCACCUUGACCCUUGGUGUCACUUCAAAAGUUGGUCAUCUCGACCAAUCCUAUGUUCUACUAUAUAUAUUACACCUUGCUAAAAAUUUUGUUUUAUUUUAUUUCCUAAUAUUUUUUAUGGUUUACUUGCUGGUCGUAUUAGUUCUGUUCUUACUCUUAUGCUUACGGUGUCUUUUGAUGGCUCGUCUUAGAAACACAGCACGGAAGUCAGUCAUUCCUUUCUUGCCCUCUCGUCUUAUGAAGCGUCCGCUUCGUCGCUCAGUGACUGGCCAGUCCAGCCACUUGGAAAGGUUGCACCACUACCUGCACGAGGUGUAGGAGCGUCGACGCUAGGAGCUGGAGCAGUAGGGUUCUUCUUCCUCGCCUUAGCAAGAGGUAGAGUCUGCGAGGUGUUGCUCCCAUGUGCCACCGCUAGAGGCGCCCCCUGCACCACCACUGGACGCCCUAGUCGCUAGAGUAGCUGCUGGAGGAGACCCUGAUGACGGAGACGACGAUGACAUCAGCUCGAGCCACAACACCGACCUCUCAGAGGAGCAGGAGCUAGAGGGAUGGGUCGCUCAACCCAUCACUUGUGAUGCUGCUCACGAUUGUCACUUCCACGAUGCGCUCAACACCUUACUGCGUCAGACACUUGACAGGCACACUUGGUCCAUCGAGUAUCAUUGCAUGGUCUACCAACACAGUCACAGGGCAUACCCGGACCACUGGGAGGCGACUUGCUUGGUGCGUCGUCCUGAGGAUGGUCUCCGAGGUGCGGAGGUCUACUCGGAGCAUUAUUCUAUCUAUGAGUGGGACUCAGCCGAGGCGGCCAUGCAGGACGCCGCACAGCGUGCGCUUUCUCACUACUGCUCGGUGCUCAGUGGGGUGGUCGAUGGUCUUGACCUGAGGUAUUACCCCCGCCGCCCAUCUGGCAGCACUGGAGGUGUGGUUGUCUCACCUGUUGGUGAGGACAAUCCUAGGUUGAGCAGCACAGUCAACAUAGUCGUUGUGCUAAACAUGGAGUUGGACCACACUUUCGAUGAGUUGAAUAGGGCUCGUGCUGAGAUCGCCCAGUUGCAGGCUGAGCGUGCGGAGCGCCGUCACCUGGCGGAUGGCUCUCCCGCCCCCGUCGGGACUCAGCCCCUUAUCGCUUGCCUCGGCGUGGACACCAUGUCUACGGCAACCCCGACUGUAGGAUCCGGAGGAAUUUAGAACCAUAGAUCAUCAACAUUGGAUUUUUUAAUUAAUGCUUUGUCGGGGACCAUAAUUAGGGGUACCCCCAAGACUUCUAAUCUCAGCUGGUAACCCCCAUCAGCACAAAGCUGCAAAGGCCUGAUGGGUGUGAUUAAGUCAAGGCUCGGUCCACUCAAGGGACACGAUCUCGCCUCGCCCGAGCCCAGCCUCGGGCAAGGGCAGCCGACCCCGGAGGAUUCACGUCUCGCCCAAGGACCCCCUCAAGCAACGGACACACCUUCGGCUCGCCCGAGGCCCAGUCUUCGCCAAGAAGCAACCUUGGCCAAAUCGCCAUAACGACCAACCGUAUCGCAGGAGCAUUUAAUGCAAAGGUGGCCUGACACCUUAUCCUGACGUGCGCCUUUCAGUCGACUGAGCCAAGGUGACCGCCGUCACUUCGCCGCUCCACUGACCAGCCUAACAAGAAGACAGCGCCGCCCGCACCGCUCCGACUGCUGUGCCACUCGACAGAGUGAGGCUGACAGCAGCCAAGUCCGGCCUCAGGCGCCAUAGGAAGCUCCGCCUCGCCCGACCCAGGGCUCGGACUCGGGCUCAGCCCCGGAAGACGACAAACUCCGCCUCGCCCGACCUAGGGCUCGGACUCGGUCUCAGCCCCAGAAGACGACGAACUCCGCCUCGCCCGACCCAGGGCUCGGACUCGGGCUCAGCCCCGGAAGAUGACGAACUCCGCCUCGCCCGACCCAGGGCUCGGACUCGGGCUCAGCCCCGGAAGACGGCGAACUCUGCCUCGCCCGACCCAGGGCUCGGACUCGACCUCGACCUCGGAAGACAGACUCGACCUCGACCUUGGAGGAGCCUCCGCCUCGCCCUACCCAGGGCUCGAACCGACCAUGUCACCGGAGGGGCCAUCAUUACCCUACCCCUAGCAAGCUCAGUUUACAAGGAACAAGACCGGCGUCCCAUCUGGCUCGCCCCGGUAAACAAGUAAUGAUGGCGCCCCGCAUGCUCCAUGACGACGGCGGCUCUCAGCCCUCUUACGGAAGCAAGGAGACAUCAGCAAGGACUCGACAGCCCCGACAGCUGUCCUUCCACUAGGCUCCAGCGCUCCUCCGACGGCCACGACAUCACACGAACAGGGUGCCAAAACCUCUUCGGCUGCCACGACGGCAUGUACUUAGGGCACUAGCUCCUCUCUGUUAGACACGUUAGCACACUGCUACACCUCCCAAUUGUACACCUGGACCCCCUCCUUACGCCUAUAAAAGGAAGGUCCAUGGCCCUCUUAUAGAGGGUUGGCCGUGCGGGGGAAGGACGGGACGGCGCGCAUAAGCCUCUCGCUCUCUCCCACGCGGACGCUUGUAACCCCCUACUGCAAGCGCACCCGACCUGGGCCCGGGACAAACACGAAGGCCGCGUGUUUCCCCUUUCACGCCUGUCUCCCUCCGGCUCCAUUUCCCCCCUUCGCGCUCCGUCUCGCGCCGACCCAUCUGGGCUGGGGCACGCGGCGACAAUUUACUCAUCGGUCCAGGGACCCCCCGUCGAAACGCCGACAGUUGGCGCGCCAGGUAGGGGCCUGCUGCGUGUUGACGAACAGCUUCCCGUCUCCGUUUUGGGAGUCUUGAGUUCAUGUCCCUCGACGGCAGCUAUGACAUGAUACUCCUUCCUCCGCCGCGCGACAGCGACAAUGGCGGCCGACAACCCGCCCGCCGGCGGCGGGAUCGACGACGUCUUCCCCACGUGGUGGAAGAACAACAUUCGGGUUUGUCCCGUCCCCUCCCCCGCCGACGGAGGAGGAGGCAGGGCAACCAAGGCCAAGCAGGAGGCGACACCUCAUCGGCUGUCGAGCGAGUCAUCGGCGCCGAUGCCCCAACGGGGGGCACACCGGGCAUCGACCUCGCGUCUGAGACGAAGACGAGCGUUGUUUCCCCGCAACACGCCAACUCCAAGCAAGCGAACGACACCAGCAUGCUCGUAAGGGACUUGCUGGGCGUUACCCUUGUACCUGAGACGACGGUGCAGUCUACCCCUGACGUGACUUCGUUACCGCCCGUCGACCAAGAGGUACCGACCGAUUCCCAUCUCGUGCCUUUUGGAUUCAGCCUCGACCCGCCAAGCGAUUUCGCUUCAGUGGACGCUCUCAUAGAGGCGAGUUCGAGCCCUCUGGGGUAUCGUAUGCGGUCACACUGGGACCGGCUGACAGCCGUCUCGACCUACGGGCCCUCGGGUUCCGAGGAAGAUGACGAGCCCGACUUUUGUUGGGAUUUCUCCGGACUUGGCAACCCCAGUGCCAUGCGGGACUUCAUGACCGCAUGCGACUACUGCCUUUCCGACUGUUCCGACGGUAGCCGCAGCCUCGGCGACAAGGACUGUGGCCCAAGUCGUGAAUGUUUUCAUGUCGAUCUAGGGGGUCCCUGCGAAGGCAACCAUCUUGGUAUAUCGAAGAACGGUGAUCCCCCUAGGCCUACGCCUCGCGUUGACAUCCUUCGGGAGCUAGCUGUGGUCCCCGUCCCGACGGGGGGUCAUGACCCACAGCUCGAGCAAAUCCGUGAGAUGCAGGCCAGGCUCGACGAGGGAGCAGGAACACUUGAGCCGUUCCGCCGGGACAUCGGGCAGGAAUGGGCGGGCCAACCUCUGGCCGGAGAAGCACGUCAUCUACCCUAGGGCAUCCAGCACUGCAUCACCGAUGAUGUCAGGGCAAGGCCGCCACCGGCUUCCAGUGGGGUCGGCCAGAACCUGGCUGCAGCGGCAAUACUUCUCCGCGCGAUGCUGGAGCCAUCAACCACCGAGGGGCGGCGUAUCCAGGGAGAGCUCAAGAAUCUCCUGGAGGAUGCCGCGGUCCGACGGGCCGAAUGCUCUGCCUCCCGAAGGCAGGGCUACCCCUCGGAGCAUCGCGCCGCGACUUCCCGAUUCAUGCGGGAAGCCUCGGUCCACACCGGGCGCAUGCGCAACACAGCGCCUGCGGCCCCGGGUCGCCUGGGCAACGAGCACCAACACCGCAACCGUCGAGCCCACCUCGACGAGAAGGUGCGCCGAGGCUACCACCCCAGGCGUGGGGGACGCUACGACAGCGGGGAGGAUCGGAGUCCCUCGCCCGAACCACCCGGUCCGCAGGCUUUCAGCCGGGCCAUACGACGAGCGCCGUUCCCGACCCGGUUCCGAACCCCGACUACUAUUACAAAGUACUCGGGGGAGACGAGGCCAGAACUGUGGCUCGUGGACUACCGGCUGGCCUGCCACCUGGGUGGAACGGACGAUGACAACCUCAUCAUCCGCAACCUCCCCCUGUUUCUCUCUGAUAUCGCUCGAGCCUGGCUGGAGCACCUGCCUCCGGGGCAGAUCUCCAACUGGGACGACCUGGUCCAAGCCUUCGCCGGCAAUUUCCAGGGCACGUACAUGCGCCCUGGAAACUCCUGGGAUCUCCGAAGCUGCCGCCAGCAGCCGGGAGAGUCUCUCCGGGACUACAUCCGGCGAUUCUCGAUGCAGAGCACUAAGCUACCCAACGUCACCGACUCGGAUGUCAUCGGCGCGUUCCUCACAGGCACCACCUGCCGCGACCUGGUGAGAAAGCUGGGUCGCAAGACCCCCACCAGGGCGAGCGAGCUGAUGGACAUCGCCACCAAGUUCGCCUCUGGCCAGGAGGCGGUUGAGGCCAUCUUCCGGAAGGAUAAGCAGCCCCAGGGCCGCCAGCCGAAAGAUGUCGCCGAGGCGUCCACUCAGCGUGGCACCAAGAAGAAGGGCAAGAAGAAGUCGCAAGCGAAACGCGACGCCACCGACGCGGACCUUGUCGCCGCCGCCGAGUACAAGAACCCUCGGAAACCUCCCAGAGGCACCAAUCUCUUCGACAAGAUGCUUAGGGAGCCGUGCCCCUAUCAUCAGGGGCCCGUCAAGCACACCCUUGAGGAGUGCGCCAUGCUUCGGCGCCACUUUCACAAGGCCGGGCCACCUGCAGAGGGUGGCAGGGCCCGCGACGACGAUAAGAAGGAGGAUCACAAGGCAGGAGAGUUCCCCGAGGUCCACGACUGCUUCAUGAUCUACGGUGGGCAAGUGGCGAACGCCUCGGCUCGGCACCGCAAGCAAGAGCGUCAGGAGGACUGCUCGGUAAAGGUGGCGGCGCCAGUCUACCUAGACUGGUCCGACAAGCCCAUCACCUUCGACCAGGGCGACCACCCCGACCGCAUGCCGAGCCCGGGGAAAUACCCGCUCGUUGUCGACCCCGUCAUCAGGCUCACCAAGGUCCUCAUGGACGGAGGCAGCAGCCUCAACAUCAUCUGUCCUUGGUCCGGGCAGGCGCUGCGCCUUUUCACGGGAUCAUCCCCAGGAAACGCGUCCAACCCCUCGGGCAACUCGAUCUACCCAUCUGCUUUGGGACGCCCUCCAACUUCCGAAGGGAGACCCUCACAUUCGAGGUGGUCGGGUUUCGAGGAACCUACCACGCAGUGCUGGGGAGGCCAUGCUACGCCAAGUUCAUGGCCGUCCCCAACUACACCUACCUCAAGCUCAAGAUGUCGGGCCCCAACGGGGUCAUCACCGUCGGCCCCACGUACCGACACGCGUACGAAUGCGACGUGGAGUGCGUGGAGUACGCCGAGGCCCUCGCAGAAUCCGAGGCCCUCAUCGCCGACCUGGAGAGCCUCUCCAAGGAGGCGCCAGACGUGAAGCGCCAUGUCGGCAACUUCGAGCCAGCGGAGACGGUUAAGUCCGUCCCCCUCGACCCCAGCAACGACACCUCCAAGCAGAUCCGGAUCGGCUCCGAGCUCGACCCCAAAUAGGAAGCGGUGCUCGUCGACUUUCUCCGCGCAAACGCCGACGUCUUCGUGUGGAGUCCCUCGGACAUGCCUGGCAUACCGAGGGAUGUCGCCGAGCACUCGCUGGAUAUCUGAGCUGGAGCCCGACCCGUGAAGCAGUCUCUGCGCCGAUUCGACGAAGAAAAGCGCAGAGCCAUAGGCAAGGAGAUCCACAAGCUAAUGGCGGCAGGGUUCAUCAAAGAGGUAUUCCAUCCUGAAUGGCUUGCCAACCCUGUGCUUGUGAGAAAGAAAGGAGGGAAAUGGCGGAUGUGUGUAGACUACACUGGUCUAAACAAAGCAUGUCCAAAAGUUCCCUACCCUCUGCCUCGCAUCGAUCAAAUCGUGGAUUCCACUGCUGGAUGCGAAACCCUGUCUUUCCUCGAUGCCUACUCAGGGUAUCACCAAAUCCGGAUGAAAGAGUCCGACCAGCUCGCGACUUCUUUCAUCACACCUUUCGGCAUGUACUGCUAUGUUACCAUGCCGUUUGGUUUGAGGAAUGCGGGUGCAACGUACCAACGGUGCAUGAACCACGUGUUCGGCGAACACAUUGGUCGAACGGUCGAGGCCUACGUCGACGACAUCAUAGUCAAGACGAGGAAAGCCUCCGACCUCCUUUCCGAUCUUGAAACGACAAUCCGGUGUCUCAAGGCGAAAGGCGUAAAACUCAAUCCUGAGAAGUGUGUCUUCGGGGUCCCCCGAGGCAUGCUCUUGGGGUUCAUCGUCUCCGAGCGGGGCAUCAAGGCCAACCCGGAGAAAAUCGCAUCCAUCACCAACAUGGAGCCCAUCAAGGACUUGAAAGGCUUACAGAGGGUCACGGGAUGCCUUGCGGCUCUGAGCCGUUUCAUCUCGCGCCUCGGCGAAAGAGGCCUGCCUCUGUACCGCCUCUUAAGGAAGGCCGAGUGCUUCACUUGGACCCCUGAGGCCGAGGAAGCCCUCGGGAACCUGAAGGCGCUCCUCACGAACGCGCCCAUCUUGGUGCCUCCCGCCAUCUUGGUGCCUCCCGCCGCUGGAGAAGCCCUCUUGAUCUACGUCGCCGCUACCACUCAGGUGGUUAGCGCCGCGAUCGUGGUUGAGAGACGAGAAGAGGGGCAUGCAUUGCCCGUCCAGAGGCCAGUCUACUUCAUCAGUGUGGUACUGUCCGAGACCAAGAUCCGCUACCCACAAAUUCAGAAGCUGCUGUACGCGGUGAUCCUCACACGGCGGAAGUUGCGACACUACUUCAAGUCUCAUCCGGUAACUGUGGUGUCAUCCUUCCCCCUGGGGGAGAUCAUCCAGUGCCGAGAGGCCUCGGGUAGAAUUGCAAAGUGGGCGGUGGAAAUCAUGGGCGAGACGAUCUCGUUCGCCCCUCGGAAGGCCAUCAAGUCCCAAGUCUUGGGGAUUUUGUGGCUGAAUGGGUCGAUACCCAGCUCCCAACAGCUCCGAUCCAACCGGAACUCUGGACCAUGUUUUUCGAUGGGUCGCUGAUGAAGACAGGGGUAGGCGCGGGCCUGCUCUUCAUCUCGCCCCUCGGGAAGCACCUACGCUACGUGCUACGCCUCCGCUUCCCGGUGUCCAAUAAUGUGGCUGAGUACGAGGCUCUGGUCAACGGGUUGCGCAUCGCCAUCGAGCUAGGGGUCUGACGCCUCGACGCUCGCAGUGACUCGUAGCUCGUCAUCGACCAAGUCAUGAAGAACUCCCACUGCUGCGACCCAAAGAUGGAAGCCUACUGCGAUGAGGUUCGGCGCCUGGAAGACAAGUUCUACGGGCUCGAGCUCAACCACAUCGCCCGACGAUACAACGAGACUGCAGAUGAGCUGGCCAAGAUAGCCUCGGGGCGAACAACGGUUCCCCCGGACUUCUUCUCCCGAGACCUGCAUCAACCCUCAAUCAAGAUCGACGACGCGUCCGAGCCCGAGAAGGCCUCGGCGCAGCCUGAGGCACCCUCGGCCCAGCCCGAGGCACCCUUGGCUCGGCCCGAGGCACCCUCGGCCCCUGAGGGUGAGGCACUGCGUGUCGAGGAGGAGCGGAGCGGGGUCACGCCUAAUCGAAACUGGCAGACCCCAUACCUGCAAUAUCUCCACCGAGGAGAGCUACCCCUCGACCGAGCCGAAGCUCGGCGGUUGGCGCGGCGCACCAAGUCGUUCGUCUUGCUGGGGGAAGGGAAGGAGCUCUACCACCACAGCCGCUCAGGCAUCCUCCAGCGAUGCAUUUCCAUCGCCGAAGGCCAGGAGCUCUUACAAGAUAUACACUCGGGGGCUUGCGGCCAUCACGCAGUGCCUCGAGCCCUUGUUGGAAACGCCUUCCGACAAGGUUUCUACUGGCCGACCGCGGUGGCCGACGCCACUAGAAUUGUCCGCACCUGCGAAGGGUGUCAGUUCUAUGCGAAGCAGACCCACCUACCCGCUCAGGCUCUGCAGACCAUACCCAUCACCGGGCCAUUUGCUGUGUGGGGUCUGGACCUCGUUGGUCCCUUGCAGAAGGCACCCGGGGGCUACACGCACCUGCUGGUCGCCAUCGACAAAUUCUCCAAGUGGAUCGAGGUCCGACCCCUAAACAACAUCAGGUCCGAACAGGCGGUGGCGUUCUUCACCAACAUCAUCCAUCGUUUUGGGGUCCCGAACUCCAUCAUCACCGACAACGGCACCUAGUUCACCGGCAGAAAAUUCCUGGACUUCUGCGAGGAUCACCACAUCCGGGUGGACUGGGCCGCCGUGGCUCACCCCAUGACGAAUGGACAAGUAGAGCGUGCCAACGGCAUGAUUCUGCAAGGGCUCAAGCCUCGGAUCUACAACGACCUCAACAAGUUCGGCAGGCGAUGGAUGAAGGAUCUCCCCUCGGUGGUCUGGAGUCUGAGGACAAUGCCA